rnacentral:lncRNA from 1 species
AUCAUAAAAAUUUAAAAGCCAUAUUUUCAUCUUUUUUCUUUGACAGAAACAUUAAAGAAAAAAAAAGAAAUAAGGUUUUCAAUGGUUCAGCCAUUGUUAAGCUUAAUCAAGGUAUGUAGCUGUAAGACCUAAUUUGUGACCGGGCUUACACAAACUAAAAAACAAAUCAAAAUAUAAAUAAUAAUAAUAAUAAUAAAGUCUAAUGUCCAUUUCUUACAUAGCCCAACAACCAAAAAUAACGGGCUCAAAUUAAAAAACCUAAACCCAACAAAAUACACAGCUCACUGGCCCAAAUAAUCCAAGCUUCAGUUUCAGAAAAUGAAACCCUAAGUCAGUAGCCUCGUGCCGCAGCCUUCACGAGUGGCCUCGCUACAUCGCACGUGCACCUCCGUUCCUCCACGUCAACGGAACCUGUGAGAAGGAAAAUAAACAGCAAAGGAAUGCACGAGAGAGAAGCUAACAGAAUUUACAGCGAUUGACAGCAAGAAAAUGUAAUUUUAUUUUUUAUUUACUCUGUAAAUCCGGCUAUAAAAAGCCAUCGAAUGUACCUGCAAAGGAGGCAUAUGACGCACAGUGUACGCAUACACACAUACAAUAUACAGAUAUUGAAUAGAAAAGUUUAAAAGCAUUUUGAAAAGGUAAUUUUCUUUAGUCUUUUUAACUAUUCUGUUAUUUUUUAUAUAUUUUCUUGCCAUUGCUUUCAUCAUCUGUGUUUUAAAAUAAAGAGGAGAGAAAAGCAAGUCUCACCUUGCAAAUCGGCCACCGAUCUCCGUUCACUUCGUUGAGAUCGAAGUAGAAAGGGGAUCCAAAGGCAACAUCUAUUACUGCUGGUGCGCCAUUGAGCACCAAAUUAAAUGGUGGAUUCGACAGAUGCAGAAAACCGAAGCAAAUUGAUUUUUGGGGGUUGUUAAUUUAGGUUAAAAAAUGGCUGAACUAAAAGAAGAGAAAAAGGCAUUAAAACCUUUGUAGAAAGUGGUGCUGUUUGAAAUGGAAAAGUCCACGUGUAAACCCGAUGCAAAAGACAGAUCUGCACUCUUUUUUAUCUUAAAUGAGCUAUUUGCACGUCUGAUCCUUCCCGCAUAUGUCAAUCUUCAAUCGGAUCCAACCUAUGCUACACUUAUUUUUUUAUUUUGUCUGGGAAUUUGUACACUAUUGCGAUUUGAUCCACGGCUAAAUUCAGCGUUUUGAAAUGUAAAUUAUUUCCAAUUCUGGUCCUUAUACAUUUGCAAGCAUGACGCCUAAGUCCCUAUUUUGAUUUUAAUAGUUUUAUUUUUAAAAUUUCCUUCGUAUUUUAACUCAAUUUUAAUUUAGUUUUAUUUGUAUAGUCUACCAUACAUUCAACGUUGUACAUGUAUUAGCUUAAUUGAGAUUUUAAUUUAUGAUGCAUAUUAUUUAAAAUUGGUUUAAUUUUUUUAAAAUUAAUUUGAUCUUUGUUAACAGCUUCUUCUAUAUUUUAUUUGCAAUUAGGUUAUAGUUUUUUUUUUUUUUGCGUAACCUUUAACUCAAAAUUUUUUUUUAUUUUGGCAGCUAUAUUAUUUAAAUCAAGUCUUUUGUUCACUAUGAUUUUGAGAAUUCAUUUGGUUCUUCAUAUAUAUACAUGCUAAAUUAUGUUUCUCACUUUAUAUAACUAUUAUUUUGAAGCUAUUUUAUAUUAUAUUGUUUUAAUAAUUUAUAUAAUAUUUUUUUAAUAUUUUUGUGUAUAUUUGUACAUAUAUUAUUUUAAUGGUUUUUUUAUUUAAAAUACUUAUUAUUUUAAAAUUCAUUUAAAUAUGUAUGCAAGGUUAUUUGGGAAAUUCAUUCUUGUGUUUACAAAAUUAUUAUUUUGAAACGCUUCUUUAUGUUAUAUUAUCUUAGUGUUUUAUUUAGUAUCCCUUCUAAAUGUUUUAAGUAUAAUAGUAUGUAUAUAAUUUAUAAGAUAAUCUAAUUUUAUAUGUAUUAUUAAUUUCAUAUUUUGUUUAUAUAAAUAAUUAUUCCUAUAUCAUAUGUGCAUGUCUCAAAAGAAAAUCUAUUAUGUGUACUAUACCUUGCCAUGUAUUAUUAUUUCUUCAUAUUUAAUAUAUUAUUUAAGUUAUCAUUAAGCAUAUAUUUUUGUAUUUAUAUUUAAUUUACAUACAUUAUUAAAACCAUGAUAUUUUUAAAUAUAUAGUUUUUUUUAAGUUUGUACCUAAUAAUUUUUAUUAAAUGCAUAGUAUGUGAUAAAAUUAAGUUAAUUUUACAAUUCAUAUUUUUAUUUCAUGAUAUUCUAACAUUUAAUUAUUUCUAAAAUAUAUGUAUAUAACCCAUAUUAAAUUAUUUUAUUAUAGUCUACAUUAUUGAUUUCAAAUUAAUAUUUCUUUUACGUAUAUAUAUAUAUUUUCUCUUUAAAAUUAUUCAUGCGUAUAAUGCGUUUAUUUUAAGAACUAUAUUUUAAGUCGUACCAUUUAUUUAUUGUAUAUAUUCUCCUAUUUUAUUAUCCUUAUACAUGUAUUAUUUUCAUCAAUCCAAAUCAAGUUGUUAUAUAUAAAAUUAUGUUAUAUUUUGUUUUAAAUUUCCCUUUAUAAAUAUAGUUUUAUAAAUAUACAUCACUAAAUUUAUGUAUUUUGUAAAUAUAAUUUUCUUUGUUAUGUACACUCUAUCCUAUCAUGUUUUUUCUUUUUUCUUUUAUAUGUUAUUUAAGCAACCAUGCAUAUUAUCAAUUUUUAAAAUUUGUGUUUGAAAUGUUUUGCAUAUUAUUCGAUUCAAAUGUUUUAUUCUACAAUAUUUAUGUCAAAUAAUUAUAUAUCUUUAGUUUUCAUACCAAUUUGUCAACUUAUUUUAUGUGUUAAUUAAUUCAUCAUUAUUUUGAAAAUGUCCUAUACUAUGCUAAGUUCUAAUUCCAUUUCAUUUUGUACAUAUUUUAUGGAUCAUUUUAUAUUAUGUCCUGUUAAUUAUUGUUGUAUAUCAUUUUUGUAUUGAUUGUUCGUCAUCUAUGAUUAAGAAUUUGGUCAUUUUACUUAGAAUAAUUGUACAUAAUUAUGGAUUUGUUAAUUGCGACUUGUUGUAUCCUAUUAUUUCAUGCUCAUUAACCCUUUCUCAUACAAAUGUUUUGAUACAAUGAAGCAUUCCAUUUUAAAACGGAUAAACGUGUUUUGAGCAAAUUUCCAAUUUUCUUUCUCACUCAAAAUUUUUGAAAUAAGGCUAUAUCCAAUAUUUGGGGAGUUCGGAAAAUCGUGCUCAAUCGUACUGGGUAUGAUUUUUUCGGUGAACUAAAUAUUGGGAUAACCUUUUAUAAUUUUAGUUUACGAGUUUUCAAAAGUCGAAAAUCAAUCGCGUUUUAAAGGUAUAAGGGAUCGUAUCCAAUCGUGCUGAGUAUGAUACUGCAUAUCUUUGAAACGAGAGAAUUUUGACCAUUAAUUUAAACUAUUCGAACAUUUUAAAAAAGAAUCAUACUUUGGGAAAUCUUUUCUUUAAAAGGCCUUUUGGCAUAAGAAUAGCAUCAAAUCAAAUUGGUACCAAUUUUUGGGCGUAAUGACGGUGCUAACCCUUCCUCAUGCGUAAUCGACUCCCGAACCCACUUUUUUGAUUUUACAUGAAUAAAGAGUUUUAGUAGGUGGCCCAAUCACACCUAAAUCAAGAGAUUGGUGGCGACUCCACAUUUUUGUUUUCAAAAGUCGAUCUCCAUUGUUUUCAAAAUAAAAAGGGUUUCGACAGCUCGGCAACUCCACUGGGGAUUGAACAAAGAGAGUCAGGCCAUAAAAUUGAUUAUUUGCUUUCCUUUUGUCAAAGAAUUGAAAAUUUGUUUUGAAAAUCAUGAUUCUUUUAAUUGCAUUUGUUUGCAUGAUUAUUGUGGUUCGAGUCUUGUAGAAUAAUAUGGCAUUACAUUGCAUGACCGCUGUGGUUGUAACUGUUAAGUAGGAGUAAGAAACUAUGCUUUCGUAAGGUUUUCACCUCCGUAUGGGCUAGUGGAUUGCUUUCGGGAUACAUCCGUACCUAUGAUUUCGUGAGAUUUUCAUCUCCGCAUGGUCAUAGGGAAAUGUAUUCCCCUGAAUCGAACUCGAUUCAUAUGAGCCUAUAAUGGGUGAGAAUUGAGGAAUCUGCUGGUUCAGGUACCCUUUCUUUAGAACCAAACCACAUAUAGUAAACCUUGAGAAUCCACCUUAUGUAGAACCUUGCCCAAAUUUAGUGGUCACCUGAAUAGGUACUUUAUUUGAUAUUUAUUUCACCUAUACUAACGUGUUUUGUUUUUGUUUUGUUUAUAAUUGCAUUGCAUUACAUCAUCAUAGAAAGGAGGUGUUGAUUCAUAUUUGAUUGCUAAAUAGAACAGUUUGUCAUAAGAAAACGAAUUUCCUAAUGAAGUGGAUUAUAAUACGGUUGUCUGAAUUGACGGAAGAAGGCUGACAGUUCGUGGAGAAAAACAAGUCCUUACCUGAAGAUUCAAGCUGAUAAAGAUUGUUCAAGAGCCGUCGCAUCUCGAUUUUCUUAAUGGAGCUAAUCAACGUCGCGAGGAUAAUGAGUCGUAGCCUGGAUCAAGCAAAGAAGAGCUACUGGAGGCAUUUAUUAGAGGCUUGCGAGAUUUGGAUUUCACGAAGAAAAGGGAUCGGUGUCUUUGCCUGGAAUAUGAAAGCAAGGCCGUAUAUGUAAUCCGUUUUAUGUAAAGGAAUUUGUUUUCUUGAAAACUUGUUCUAAUGGAAUUAAAUUGAAAAUCAACAUCUCUCUUUCUUUUGCAUUCAUCCCAUGCAUUUGCAUUGCAUUGCAUCAUUUCAUUAUUUGCAUUAAAUUUUUAUAAAGGGGUCCCUAAUUAGUUGAAAUCAUUUCAGUUAAUCUAGGAACCAAUAAAAACUUACCAACCAAGCAUCAUUACGGUACCCGUGCUAAGACAAAAGAUAUGGACAAAAGAUUGGAAAGACUUGAACAACUUCAAAGAGAGAUGCAAGACCAGUUACAAAUACAGAUGCAAGAGCAACUAGCGAAGAUUAGGCAGGAUAUGAAAGAUCUGGUGCUAGAAUCUUAAAGGAAUAUGUUGAACCGGUUGUCUCAAUUGCUGACAAAGGGGCUUAAAGAAAGGAAAAGUUCUAUGAUCAAUACUGGGAAGGACAAUAAAGAGCCUCUCUACCCUCCAGGUUUCACCCCGACGAAUGUUCAGACGUGUCUGCAAGGUGUACCUAUUAUCAGAACUCAGCAAUAUCAGGCUGGUAACUCAGUAUCGGUGGAUUACCUGAUAGGCUCAAGCUCCAAUCCGAGAGGAAACCUAACCAAUCUUGAAGUUCUUGAUCUAGAUUAAAUGGAAAAAGUAAAGAGGGAAUUACCAAAACAACUCGAAGAUCGGUAUAGGUGGUUGGAGGAAAAAUUGAAAGCAAUGGAGAGUGUUGACUUCUACUGUGGAAUUGAUGCCAAGGAUUUGAGUUUGGUCCCUGAUCUAGUACUCCCGCCAAAGUUUAAGAUUCCUGAGUUUGAAAAGUACAAUGGGACCAGUUGUCCUGAAGUUCACAUCAUAAUGUUCUGUCGAAGGAUGACAGGGUAUGUUAACAACGACCAAUUAUUAAUUCAUUGCUUCUAGGACAGUCUAAUCGGGUCAGUAGCUAAAUGGUACAACCAAUUGAGUCGUGUUAAAAUCAAUUCAUGGAAGGACUUAGCACAAGCUUUUAUGAAGCAGUAUAGCCAUGUAACAGAUAUGGCAUCCAACAGAAUUACCUUGCAGGAUAUGGAAAAGAAGCAAAGUGAGAGCUUCAGGCAAUAUGCCCAAAGAUGGAAAGAGGUAGCAACACAGGUCCAACCGCCUCUUUUGGAAAAGAAGACCACGAUGCUUUUCAUCAAUACUCUAGAAGCUCCGUUCAUUAAUUAUAUGUUGGGAAGUACUACGCUGAGCUUUUCAGAUAUAGUAAUGUCUGGUGAGAUGAUUGAAGAUGCGAUAAGAAAUGGGAAAAUAGAUAUGGGAGAAAAUGCCAAAAGGUCAAAUCCGAGAAAUGAGGAAAAUGAAGUGAACAUCACGAGCAUGCCUUCCAAAUUGGUCAACAUAAGCCAGCCAAGGGUUGUAACCGCUGGUUAUCAAAGAGAAUUUGAAUGACAUAUCUAAAGAGAGGUCCAGGGAAUAAAAGUUUCUAAAACCUUAUGUAUUUGGGGGUGUUUUAAGAAAUGGAACUGUGGAAGAGAUCCUUGUAUUUUUAGAGUUGAUUUAGAGUAAUAUUCAAAACACACUUGUUGCCUUAAGCCUAGGGGCAAUAAGAAUCCUUUUGUGAAAUAGGCUUGUGUCCAAAACUUUUUAUUUCAAUAAAAUGCAUGUUUUUUGAAUUUUCUUUCAUUAUUUAUUCUUUUGUUCUUUGGACUACUUUUUUUAAAAAAAAUAUGCUUUUGUUCUUCAUUCAUGAUCAUACUAUACAAAUAAUUAUCCUUAGAAUCUUUGGAAUUAGUCUUUGUACCUACAAUAGGUCCCCAGAUAUUAAUGACAUGAGCAACGCUGUAACUAACUCCCUUUUGGGGUGAGAUAUGUGUUUAAGCGGAUCUCAGGACUUUGAAGAUGACAGAGAUUGUGACUUAUUUCCUGAUUUGUUAAGGAUGGUAGAACAAGAUGAAAAAAAUGGAUCUUUGUAAUAUCCUGAUUUUGGGCCUAGUCAGAAUAGUGGUUUUGUGACCCAAAAAUUCGAGAUAGAAAUAAUUAUUUUAUGAUUAUUUUGAGGUCUAUGAUAUUAUUGCAUGAUUGUGUGAAAAUUUCGUGAAGAAAUUUUAUGCAUAAAGUGCUUAAAUUGAAAUUAGGGACUAAAUCGAAUAAUUUGUAAAACUUGCAUUCUAGAAGUUUCUAGUAUGAAAUUGUUUUGAAAUAUUAAUUAGAAGGUUUUAAAUAGAAAUUUUACCAAUUUCUAAGUCUAUGGAAAAAAAUUGGACAUGGAUAGAAUUUUUGGAAAGUUUAGUAGUAAGGGCAUUUUGGUCAUUUAGGGGUAAAAUGAAUUAAAAUAUAAAAUUAAAAGCCAAUUUUGCUCAUCUUCAACCCCAUGGCCGAAUAUAGCAAGGAGAAACCAUGGCUAGGGUUUUCAAGCUUCCAAGCUCGAUUGUAAGUCCGUUCUAGCCUCGUUUUUUGGAGUCUUAGUAGCUCGAUUAAGCUUAUGCUAGCAAUAAUUCAACCUAGGGUUCAUAUUUGGAAAAUACCCAUAGGUGAAAUUUGUGUAUUUUGGUGUUUUAUGAUAGAAUAUGAGGUUUUAAAUUAUGUUAGACAACUUGUGCUACUCGGUUUUAAGCGAAAACUAGCAAAAGGGCUUAAUCGGUAAAAAUACCUAAUAGUCAUAAGUACAUGUUAGAGUGAGAAUUUGAUGUUUCUAUAGAAGGGAAAAAUGAUCAGCAUGUCAUAAAACAUAAGAAAAUAGGCUGAAUUUUAAUUUACGAGCUUUGGGGAAAAAGUGUAAAUAUGCAAAAGUUUAGGGGCAAAAUUGUAAUUUUUCCAAAAUAUGAUUUUGGGUCCAUUUGAAUAAUGUGAGUCCUAAUUAGACUAUAUUUUAAAUGAUAGAGCAAGGAAAACUAAAAUUUAGGCUAAAAUGGAAAAAUACCAAGUUGUGGACGAAAUAGUAAAAGUAGCCAUUUUCGCGUACGAGGUAAGUUCAUGUGUAAAUGUAGUAACAUAAUUGUCAUAUUAAGCAAUUUAAUGUUGUUUAUAUGAUAUGAUGCUGAUUAUUAUCAUGAAAUAUUAUGCUUUGUAGUUAUUGUUGAAUAAUAUGUAAUUAUGUGAAUUACUUGAUGAGUAUGAACUAUCACCGAAGUAUCAAUUUCGAUAUUCCGUGGAAGAUGGCAAAGAUGUGAGAUCAAGGAAAAAGCCCGUUUGAACCUUAGGAAUAGAUUAGGAUACAAGUGACAUGUCACUAGGAUGUUUGGGCAUCCGAACUCGUUGAGUUGAGUCCGAGUUCACUUAUGGAUGCGAAUGUCCAAACUCGUUGAGUUGAGUCCGAGUUCGAGAGAUUUAACUAGGCAUCCGAGCUCGUUGAGUUGAGUCCGAGUUCACUUAUGGAUAUGAACGCUCGAGCUCGUUGAGUUGAGUCCGAGUUCACUUAUGGGCGGGUUACAUGGUAGCUUGGCUACAUAUGUGGCACUUAUGUGCAAACUUUCCAUGUAUCCGAAUUAUAUUCCGAUGUGUUCAACGGGUAAAGUUCUACUCAAAUGGAGGAAUACUCAAGAUGAAAGGGACGUAUUGGUAAGUGUUGUGAAAUGGAUACUUUGAACAGGUAUGUACUUAACCCUCGGGUUGAAAACUCGAUAUAACAACAAUAUGGUAAGAUGAUAAAUGAAAAUGUGAUAUGGAUGUCUUGGUGAUGAUUAUGCAAAUGAUGUUUUAUGUUUGCUUAUAUGGUUAUGUUACUUGCUAUUUGCAUGUGAACUUACUAAGCAUUUAUGCUUACUCCCUCCUUUUCAUUCCUUGUAGUGUUGACAAGCCAGCUCGGAAAUCGAAAACGGUCGGAGGCACGCUCACACUAUCUGUAUACCAUCUUGGCAUAAUGGCUUGUAUAUUUUGAGUAUGACAUGUAUAGCAUUAUAAUCAUUUUGUGUAUAUGGUCUUAUGAUAUGGUUAUUGAGUGGUAUGGAAAUGCUUGGUAAUAAUUAGCCAUUGGAAUGGCUAAUCAUGAUCAUAUUUGGUGUUAUGUAUGCUAAAUUGCUAGCUAAUUCAUGGAAACCAUGAAAUAGGUAAAAUUUACCAUAAAAUAGAUUCAGACAGCAGCAGUGACGUGAGUUUGAAAAAUCACUAAAAAUAGUAGAGAUACAACUAGAUGAUGAAUAAUAUAUGGAAUUGAAUAAUUAUGAGUCUAUUUUCAUAUGGAUGGAACAAAACAGGUAUAUGAGUUAUAUUUUAUGAGAUGUUUAAAUUUUUGUGAAACAGGGCUAGUGCGAUUUCUGGAUCCCCUGUUCUGACUUUGGAAAUUCACCAUAAAUGUUUCAAAAAUAAUUAGAAGUCAUGAUUUAUAUGUACAGAUUCCUUAUUUAGUCUAGUUUUAUUAAAAAUAAACGACAUAGUCAUUGAAACUCUGUACAGGGAGAUAUUUGAUUCGUAAUACACAGAGGUCAGAGCAGUCGAACCCUGAAAUAGGGGAGACUUUAACUAAUUAACUGUACUAAUUUUCUUGACCAAAAAUUCUUGAAAAAUAAUUAUGAAAUAGAUAUAUGAGUCUAGUUUUAGGGAAAUUUUACGGAAUUAGAUUUUGAGUUUCGUAACUCGAGAUAUGAAUUUUUAAGCGACUAUGACGCAGAUUGUUAGCUUGACUGAAAAUUUUAAAAAUAAAUUGUUUGAGCUGUUUAAGUAAUGAAUUAAGUUUGUUAACACCUCGUGUUUGACUCCAGCGACGGUCUCGGGUACGGGGCGUUACAUUUGGUGGUAUCAGAGCAAGUUUAGUCGGUUCUCGGACUAACCUAGCAUGUGUAAAAGUUUAGCUAUACAUGCCACUGAUCUGUGAUAGUGUGAUGUCUUCCGACGCGUAUGAGUACCGUCUUAUUUAGACAAGGUACUCUCCAACCGAGCUGCGCCGACCAUGUUCAAUGUUAUGUGAAGGUAUUUGAGUAAAAUUAUGAUUAUGAUAAGUCUCGGUUCAGAAAAGUAUGAAUAAAAGUUUAUGAUACAUAUGUGAUAAAUAUUCAUAUUUGCUUAAUGCUCAUAUGAUGUAGUGUAUGUGGCUUACUUGAUAAGAUGAAUGGAAUAAAUAGAAAGUAGUAGAGGUAUGAAUAAAAGUCAUAAUAUUAUGAUACGAAUGAAAAUGUCCUUGUCUUGAUUUGGACGUCUAAUGUUGAUGAAUGCUAAUGAUAUAUAAUUUUUAUGAGAUAAAGGAUUAUAAUGGAAUGAACUUAUCUAUGUUAAAUUGUUGGACUGAAUUAUAUGAUUGUAAUGAUAUGUACAUGAUGAUGCACGAAAUGAAAGUUGUGACUGUGAUGCAAAUAUCUAUGUUUGUUUGGCCUUAUAUGAUGUCAUGAGCAUGAAUUAAUUUAAUUAAAUGAAUGGAUAAGUAAAGCUAUCUAGAAAACAUAGAAUGUAUGCAUAAGUAUAUUGUCUAAAUGGGACAAUAGGAAAAUUGGUGUAAGCCAACAUGAAUGUUGCAUUGCCUGAAUGAAUGACAUGAUUUUGAUGAUGGAAGUUGUGUCAUAUGUGUAUGUAUAAGAAGGUCGAGUCAGAGGUCCUACAACCCCUCCCCCUUACCAAAGUGGUACUUAUAAUGGAAUUUCAUGAGAUUUGUAUUGAAUAAGUUUCCGGUUGAGAACCCAAAGAGUUCAGUGAUAGAAUAAUUAUAAGUAUGAUCAGAGAUUGAAAAUGAGCUGAUAAGUAAAGUCAGAGUCAGUAAAGUAUCAGAUUGAUAUAAAGAUUAUUGGAAUUAUGCACUGUCCCAGUUAAAGAAGGAAAUUCUCUUUGGUAAAUCGAAUUACUCAGGUGCAAGGUCGAGAAAAGUGUAAAUCAAAAAUUUAUUCAGAACUGACCUUCUUUAGUGAAUGAUUUAAUAUGAAAUUUGUGAUGGCAGAACUAGUUGGGGAAAUGAUAUUUGAAAUGUGAACUAUCUGAGUGUGACAGUUAUGACUGGACAGAUUUAGCAGUCUCUUUUGAGAUGUUCUAUGUGUUUACCCGUUCUCAGAAAUAUUUCUAUGGCUAUUGAUCUUAUGAAGAAAUUCUUGUUAUAUGGGAAUGUCUUCUAAUUCUGGUGUUGGAUGAAAGCAUUGGUAGUCUGACUGGUUUAUAAUUUAUAUUGCUCUAUUUCAUCGGGUAUUCUAUUUUAUUUCGUCUGAUAAGAAUUGAUGAGAGAAUACGUAAGAUAUUAUGAUUCAGUUUCUUCUACUUGAUGCUUCAUCUGAUAUAUAUAUGUAUGGGAAGAUAUAUUGAUCUUGUUAUAUUUGAUUUCAGUGGGAUUAAAUGAUGUUUUCUUCUGGACUUUCUUUCUUUGAAGAAUUAUCGGGGUAUUCUAUAUUUUCUCUAUGAGUUUGGUUUUCGAUUCUCCGGCAUAGUAUCAUAUCUUGGGUUUCUUUAUCCUGGAUCUCUUUAUUCUGGAUUUCUUUAUUCUGGGUUUCUCUAUCUUGGAUUUCUUUAUUCGGUUUUCUUGUUAUCUUUGUUUCAUAAUUUGUCAAUUAAGACUCAUGUUCGAAGUGCGUUCUUCAGCUCGUGAUAAUCAUGUCAAAUAUGACUAUACUUCUAAUUUGAUCUUGGUAAUGUGGUGAUUUUAGUAUUGGGAUUUUUUCUAAUUUCUGUGUAAGGAUUUGACAUCAGUAAAGGCAUAGGUGAUAAAAGCGCGAGUUUCAGUCGGUAUGGUGAAUUAUUUAUUUGAAAGAUUUCAUGUGACAAUUAUGUCAGGAUUAUUUUUCUCAAGUCUGAUAAUAGAAUUUCAUUUUGUACAGAUAAAAGAGUAAAUAGUCUGAACGAGAAGUGUAUAUUUAUUAGAAAGAGUUGGAUAUUAGUUAAAGUCACUACGAAUGAUAAGGUUUUCGUCUUGUGAAAGCUGAAAAGUUUAUUACAUGUUGACAGAGUUCGGAUAGAUGAGAAUAUUGGUAACCGAAGCGUUUGAACUAGACUAGUCUACAUUGAGUAAAGACUUCCUGACUUUCAGUAAUGUACUGUUGUAUGAAUUGUGAUGUGUUUCAAGACAGUGAGGUAAUGUGAUAGUUUAGAGCAUUCGAUGUUACAUAAAAUCGGAGUUGUUAAAGGGUUAAAGCCAAGCAUUGGGAUCUAUCAAAAUUAUCCUUGUCAGUGUUGAUAUUGGGAUGAAAAUGAGAAGGAUUAUUCUUGAGGCCAUAUCAGAAAUAUUUCAAUGGCGGAAAGAGGAAAAUGUGAUGUAUCCUAUUGUUAAAUGUUUGGCGAGAUCUAUAAAUCAUAUAUGUAUUGAAUGAAUUCCUACUCAUCAGAUUCAUGGAAUUUCAGGUCUCUUUGAUUUUUGGAUUUCUUGGAAUUCCGGUCUCCAUUAAAUCAAGUUGAGAUCCGAGUUUUAUGUCAUGAUAUCAUGGGAAACUGAGAAGGGUUGAAAAUUUAAAAGAACAGUUGAGAGUUGAGACUGUAAGCUUUUAGAUCAUAUGAGAAAUUGAAGAGAUGUAUUGGAGGUACAGUCUAAGUGCAAGUACUUCGACACCGAAUAUGAGAUUAAAAGUGAAGACCACUUUUCUGGUAAGAUUUUCGGGGACGAAAAUCCCUAAAGGGGGGAGAGUUGUAAUAUCCUGAUUUUGGGCCUAGUCGGAAUAGUGGUUUCAUGACCACAAAAUUCGAGAUAGAAAUAAUUAUUUUAUGAUUAUUUUGAGGUCUAUGAUAUUAUUGCAUGAUUGUGUGAAAAUUUCGUGAAGAAAUUUUAUGCAUAAAGUGCUUAAAUUGAAAUUAGGGACUAAAUCGAAUAAUUUGUAAAACUUGCAUUCUAGAAGCUUAUAGUAUGAAAUUGUUUUGAAAUAUUAAUUAGGAGGUCUUAAAUAGAAAUUUUACCGAUUUCUAAGUCUAUGGAAAAAAAUUGGACAUGGAUAGAAUUUUUGGAAAGUUUAGUAGUAAGGGCAUUUUGGUCAUUUAGGGGCAAAAUGAAUUAAAAUAUAAAAUUAAAAGCCAAUUUUGCUCAUCUUCAACCCCAUGGCCGAAUAUAGUAAGGAGAAACCAUGUCUAGGGUUUUUCAAGCUUCCAAGCUCGAUUGUAAGUCCGUUGUAGCCUCGUUUUUAAUGAUUUUUACGUUUUUGGAGUCUUAAUAGCUCGAUUAAGCUUAUGCUAGCAAUAAUUCAACCUAGGGUUCAUAUUUGGAAAAUACCCAUAGGUAAAAUUUGUGUAUUUUGGUGUUUUAUGAUAGAAUAUGAGGUUUUAAAUUAUGUUAGACAACUUGUGCUACUCGGUUUUAAGCGAAACUAGCAAAAGGGCUUAAUCGGUAAAAAUACCUAAUAGUCAUAAGUACAUGUUAGAGUGAGAAUUUGAUAUUGCCAUAGAAGGGAAAAAUGAUCAGCAUGUCAUAAAACAUAAGAAAAUAGGCUGAAUUUUAAUUUACGAGCUUUGGGGCAAAAGUGUAAAUAUGCAAAAGUUUAGGGGCAAAAUUGUAAUUUUUCCAAAAUAUGAUUUUGGGUCCAUUUGAAUAAUGUGAGUCCUAAUUAGACUAUAUUUUAAAUGAUAGAGCAAGGAAAACUAAAAUUCAGGCUAAAAUGGAAAAAUACCGAGUUGUGGACGAAAUAGUAAAAGUAGCCAUUUUCGCAUACGAGGUAAGUUCAUGUGUAAAUGUAGUAACAUAAUUUUCAUAUUAAGCAAUUUAAUGUUGUUUAUAUGAUAUGAUGCUGAUUAUUAUCAUGAAAUAUUAUGCUUUGUGGUUAUUGUUGAAUAAUAUGUAAUUAUGUGAAUUACUUGAUGAGUAUGAACUAUCACCGAAGUAUCAAUUUCGAUAUUCUGUGGAAGAUGGCAAAGGUGUGUGAUCGAGGAAAAAGCCCGUUUGAACCUUAGGAAUAGAUUAGGAUACAAGUGACAUGUCACUAGGAUGUUUGGGCAUCCGAACUCGUUGAGUUGAGUCCGAGUUCACUUAUGGAUGCGAAUGUCCAAACUCGUUGAGUUGAGUCCGAGUUCGAGAGAUGUAACUAGGCAUCCGAGCUCGUUGAGUUGAGUCCGAGUUCACUUAUGGAUGUGAAUGCCCGAGCUCAUUGAGUUGACUCCGAGUUCACUUAUGGGCGGGUUACAUGGUAGCUUGGCUACAUAUGUGGCACUUAUGUGCAAACUUUCCAUGUAUCCAAAUUAUAUUCCGAUGUGUUCAACGGGUAAAGUUCUACUUAAAUGGAGGAAUACUCAAGAUGAAAGGGACGUAUUGGUAAGUGUUGUGAAAUGGAUACUUUGAACAGGUAUGUACUUAACCCUCGGGUUGAAAACUCGAUAUAACAACAAUAUGGUAAGAUGAUAAAUGAAAAUAUGAUAUGAAUGUCUUGGUGAUGAUUAUGCAAAUGAUGUUUUAUGUUUGCUUAUAUGGUUAUGUUACUUGCUAUUUGCAUGUGAACUUACUAAGCAUUUAUGCUUACUCCCUCCUUUUCAUUCCUUGUAGUGUUGACAAGCCAGCUUGGAAAUCGGAAAUGGUCGGAGGCACGCUCACACUAUCCGUAUACCAUCUUGGCAUAAUGGCUUGUAUAUUUUGAGUAUGGCAUGUAUAGCAUUAUAAUCAUUUUGUGUAUAUGGUUUUGUGAUAUGGUUAUUGAGUGGUAUGGAAAUGCUUGGUAAUGAUUAGCCAUUGGAAUGGCUAAUCAUGAUCAUAUUUGGUGUUAUUGAUGCUAAAUUGCUAGCUAAUUCAUGGAAACCAUGAAAUAGGUAAAAUUUACCAUAAAAUAGAUUCAGACAGCAGCAGUGACGUGAGUUUGAAAAAUCACUAAAAAUAGUAGAGAUACAAUUAGAUGAUGAAUAAUAUAUAUAAUUGAAUAAUUAUGAGUCUAUUUUCAUAUGGAUGGAACAAAACAGGUAUAUGAGUUAUAUUUUAUGAGAUGUUUAAGUUUUUGUGAAACAGGGCCAGUGCGAUUUCUGGAUCCUCUGUUCUGACUUUAGAAAUUCACCAUAAAUGUUUCAAAAAUAAUUAGAAGUCAUGAUUUAUAUUUACAGAUUCCUUAUUUAGCCUAGUUUUAUUAGAAACAAACGGCAUAGUCAUUGAAACUCUGUACAGGGAGAUAUUUGAUUCAUAAUACAUAGAGGUCAGAGUAGUCGAACCCUGAAACAGGGGAGACUUUAACUAAUAAACUGUACUAAUUGGCUUGACCAAAAAUUCUAUAAAAACAAUUAGGAAAUAGAUAUAUGAGUCUAGUUUCAUGGAAAUUUUACAGAAUUAGAUUUCGAGUUUCGUAACUUGAGAUAUGAAUUUUUAAGCGACUAUGACGCAGAUUGUUAGCUUGACUGAAAAUUUUAAAAAUAAAUUGUUUGAGCUAUUUAAGUAAUGAAUUAAGUUUGUUAACACCUCGUGUUCGACUCCGGCGACAGUCUCGGGUACGGGGCGUUACAAUCUUACUUUACGAAGGGUCAAUGGACAUUGUGAGCAAGGGGCAAAGAUUGAAACCUGAGUCACCACAAGGACAAAAUGAAUCGUCUUUGAGUUACUUCAAGAAUUCAAAGAUGUUUUCAUAUGAUCAUGUCGAGAUAUACUCGAGAUAUUAAGAUCUGUGGAUGAUACAAAAUGUCUAUACAGUGUCAGAAGGACACAUGUUAAUGGUUUCAUGGUAGCCACGCUAAUCAUGAGGUUUGGGUAUUUUUGUUCCACCAUGGAAGGGGAUUGCAUUGGUUAAGCUAUAUUUAGGGAAACAAGCUUCAUUCAUUUCUUUACAAACUUUUUCUAUAUGGGGCAUGUAUUGGUCCAUUCUCACCUAAUAUGCAUCUUGGCAGUCAUUGAUUACUCCAUGAAGAGGGUAAAGGUCGCUUCAUAUGUCAAUAUUACAAGAUUGAUAGUCAUCAAAUUCCAAAAAAAAAAGGGUUGCUGACAAGUAAUGAUAGAAAGGAUUACUUUCAAAUACAACUGCACAAUGUCAAAAGUUUACAGUCUGUUCAAAGACCAGACACUAUAUCACAGUGCAGCAAAGGCAUUCAAAAAGAAAAACAAAAGUACAAAAAUAGAAAAAAGAAAAAGGAAAAGCAAUAAAGGUCAUAGUGAAAAUGACUGAGUCUUGUAAGGAUUGGCAUAAAGAAGUUAUUAUUUACCCUAUAUGCUUAUCGAGCGUUGGCCAGGACCUUUGUUGGGGUAAUACAUUGCUCAUUGGUUUAUGGGAUAGAAACGGUUUUGAAGAUGAGGUUCUUUUUCUUCGAGUCUUGUUAGAGUUGACGUUGGAUAAGGCAAAAUGGAUCUAAACUUGAUAUGAUCAAUUAAAUUCGAAUAGAGGAGAUUCUGUCAUGGUCUAAUGCACUAGAAAUAAAUGAUAUGAAAAUUCCAAGAGGGGAACUUGAUGUUAAAGAAGAUCCUUCUUAUACAAAAGGACUUCAAAUGAAGAAAUAUGCCGAACCAGGAGGGACCUUAUGUAGUAAAGAAGGCCUAUUAUAGAGGAGUAUUGAUAUUGACCGAAAAGAUUUGCCCAAUUCUGAAAAUUCAAAAUGCAGUCAAAGAGUAUUCUACCUAAAAUAGGAGCCAAGGUGAAAACCCACAAAGGGCACCUUGAGACCUUAAAAAUAAAAGAAAGGAAAAGAUUAAAAUAAAAAAGAAAUUAAAAGAGAAAAAAAGAGAAAUUAAAAAAAUUAAAAAAUAAAAAUAAAAAAAAAGAAAGAAAAGGAGAGGCCAAGACGAAAACCCGUAAAGGGCGCUUUGAGACCAAAGGGGAUUUGAGUUGAAAACAAGGAAAGGGCGGCUCAAAUUUGGAUCAAAAUGGGGCACACAAUAGUCUUGCUAUGCCUGAAUUAACAAUGAAAGAACUAUGUUAUGUCUUGGGGCAUCGACAAAGUACUUUGGAUCCCCUAAACACAGAUUAAGCUCAGAAUGGUCAUCAAGAAGUUGGUAUAGAGAAGCUCAAACCGCAAUAUCUAGGGCAUCUAGCUUUCCAUUUUUACCCUUUUGUUCUCAAUAAACUUCUUUCUUGGUUGCAUUUGCUCAUUUAUUUUGAGCUAUGUUCUCAAUUAAUUCCUUUCUUGUCAUGAUUUUUUUCAAGCAUUUUGCAUUGAAAUAACGAUUUUUGGACAAAUAAUACUUUCAUAAAAUGAGUUUCAUAUAUUACUUUGAAAGUUUUUGAAUAAUAUAGGAGCCUGAAACAGGACUAUUAUUUAAAACUUACCAAGCUUAAGGGUUGGAAAAAUUUAAGCCCAAAUUGAGAUUAUCUCUUUGGAAUUUCUGUCAAAAAUAUUGAUUGAACAAAAAGGAAUUACAUCGGUGUUAUAAUCUCGGCAAAGAAUGAGUAAUGGGGUUAUUCUUGAGAAAAGAAAAAUGGUAUUCUGUAUUCAUGCAGAUAUCAGACAUAUACAUCUGUUCAUUAUACCCAGGGAAUGGUGCAACAGAUCAAAUUGAUUGAAGAUCCUAUACCUCUGAGUUAUAGCAGGAUGGAUAGAAGAAAUCAAAUGAUUAUUCCCCUGAAGUUGCAGUGGGAAGUUCAAACUUUAUGUCCCAGAAGUUACAGUGUAAGGGACUCUAGAAUUACAGCGGGGCAAACUUGCUGAGCAGAAUGUGAUUGUUUCUUUGGGUUUUCUGUCAAGAAUACCAGCCAAACAAGAUGACAGCAUAAUAAAUCAGUGAUAAUGCUCUGGUGAACAACGAGCGAUGAUACCUUAAGCUUUUUUUUAAAAAAAAGGAAAAAAGAAAAAAGAAAGAUCAUUUAAAAAAAAGAUCAUUUUCAUUUUUACAUUCAUAUAUCAUUCAUAACACAUUUAGUUAGGUGCAUUUGAUUCAUUUCGAUAAUAGCAUCCUAAUUAUUUGACAUCAGCAUUACAGCUAGUUAGGAGCAUUUGAUUCAUUUCGAUCAUAGCGGCCUAAUUAUUUGACAUCAGCAUCACAUCUAGUUAGGAGCAUUUGAUUAAUUUUGAUCAUAGCAUCCUAAUUAUGUGUCAUAAGCAUCACGUCUAAUUAGGAGUAUUUGAUUCAUUUUGAUCAUAGCAUCCUAAUUAGUUGGCAUAAACAUGAUACGUGAAACCGAGUCUACAGGACAGGUCCAAGAGGACGGUGUAGUAACAUCGGUGAAGUCAGAUCUUAUAUCCCUGAAGUUGCAGCGGAAUAGAUCAAAGAUUACAAACAUUAUCUCCCUGAAGUGGCAGUGGAGUAGGUUUAAGAUUGCAGGUCUUAUUUCUCUAAGUAGUAGUGGAAUAGACCAAAGACGACAAAUCUUAUCUCCAUGUAUCGGCAAUGGAGCAGAUUUAAGCCUCAAGCCUUAUCUCUCUGAGGUAGCAAGAGAGCAGGUUGAAGAAUGAGUCUUAUCUCUCUGAGGUAGCAAGGAAGCAGACUGGGAAUUGUAGAUUUUAUCUCCCUGAAGUUGCAGUGAAGCAGAUCUUCGCAAAUGGCUUGUAACACCCCUUACCCGUACCCGAGGCCGAGAUAAGGUAUGAGGUGUUACCGAGACAAACAUACAAACAUUGAACUAAAAUAAAGGCCAUAAAAUUUCAUUCAUAUUUCAAAACGUUCAUUCACUUACACAUAGUCCCUUAUUUGAGUCUACGGAGCCCAAAACAUACUUUAGAAAGGGUUUGGGACUAAACCGAGAACUUAUGAAAAUCUUGAAAAUUUGAUGCUUUAAGGUUCCACACGCCCGUGUCCCAAAGUCGUGUUCCAUACAUGGCUGAGACACAUGGUCGUGUCUCUGCCUGUCUGGAAUAUACCUAGGCUAUUUUCCAAGCUUUGGUCAACCUUAAUCUCUUACACACUUAUACAUUUAUACCAAGAUUAUCAUCUUACCAAAUAUCUUUAGCUUAAUCAUCAAGCAUUCAUAUUUAAAGCUAGAUCAUAUCUUUAUAAAAUACCACAAUUCAGAUGCGCAGAAUAACAUGUUUGCCUGAAACAUUUCAAUUCAACUCCAUACCCAACAAGCAUUACAUUGAGACUAGUCAUAUAUAUAUAUACAUGUCAUGAUACAUACAUUCUCUUUCUGUUUUCUUAUAAACACAUAUCAUUUAUUUCAUUAUAUCAAUAUUUCAUAUACCAUAGUUUCCAUGUAUUCCACAUAUAUUUAUUUUCCUCAUCCUCCUCUCCAUUCCACAUCCUUAAUGUAUAUAGCAUUCUUGUAAGUACGAUUUCACAAUUUACUAAUAAAUACUCACAACAAACUGUCCACACGAGUCAUAGUCACUUACUUAUUUAUAAUUCGAGCUACAGAGCUCCAAAUUAAGAUCCGUAAAUUUCCCCUGAAACUAGACUCACAUAUCUUUCUAUCAUAAAAUUUUCAUAAUUUUUGGUUCAGCCAAUUAGUACAGUUUAUUCAUUAAAUUUCCCCUAUUUCACUUUUUGACAGUUCUGACCUCUCUUCACUAAAAAUUAAGUAUCUCACAGUACAGAACUCGAAUAAUGUUCUUGUUGAUUUAUCUUGAUAAUAGACUCAUUAAGGAUUUUAAAAAUAUAAGUUUGAGCUUCUAAUUAUUUUUUUCCAAAUUUUUGUGAUUUUCCAAAGUCAGAACAGGGGAUCACGUAAUCAUUCUGAACCAGUCUCCCAAAACAUAAAUAUCUCAAAAUAUAGAACUCCUUUUCUUGCUCUGUUUCUUUUAUAUGAAACUCAUUGAGUUUUAAUUUGAUAUCUCAUUCAGUCUCUAAUUCAAUUUCUACUAUUUUUGGUGAUUUUUAAAAAUCACGUCACUGCUACUGUCCAAAACAGUUUUAUUGCUAAUUCACUCUUUCACACUUUCUUUGUAUUAACCUCAUUUUAACAUACAUAUCACAAAUCAUUUUCACCACAUUUCAUACAUCACGAGUAUGGGCCCAUGAUUACAAGGUCACCAUAAAAUCAUCCUCAUGUGUAAUUUACUUGUUUAUAACCUUACCACAUCCCGGUCACUUAAUGUACACAUCAUUCACAUAACCAAGUUCCUGCACUUAUUCAUCACAAAACUCACAAAGCAAUACAUAGAGAGUCUCCCGCUGAACACUUCUGAUCAAUCCUCGAUACUUAGUGGUUUUAGAACAUAGCUCCACCCAUCAUAUAGUUCGGCUCUCUUGUACAUAUGGUAAACACUUAGUACCACCCAUGUGACCUAGCCAGUUUAUCUCGUAGCUCUCUUGUCUACAUGGUGUACACAUAGUAUCACCCAUGCGACCUAGCUACAUCAUAAUGUCUUGUAGCUCUCUUGUACACAUGAUGUGCACUCAGCACCAUACAUGUGACCUAGCUACAUACCAUCAGUAUCAUCCAAUCUUUUCGAAGGUUCAACCGGGAUUUCUCUCUCUUUUCCAACAAUUUCACCAAUCAAGUAAUUAUCAACAAACAUAUUUCCAACAUUAUUAUAAAAUAUCAUAAUACAAGUAAAAUUGAUGUAUUACUUACAUAUAAACUUACAUCUCAUUUAAUAUCAAGGUAAUAACAUUAAAUUACACAUUGCCUUAUUAAAAAUCAUAUGAACUUACAAUUUCUCAUAAUAUCCAUAAUCAUAGAAAUCACAUUUAUGUAUGAUAAUUCAAUGCACUUCAUGAACCAUAGACAUAUUUUUAAAUCAAUUCAUAAACUGGACACCAUAACAUUUAAUUUAACAUAAUUCAAUUAAUUCACUAAAUUUAACUUUCAAAUAUAAAUUACAGCAUUAUUGCUGUAUUAUUAUCACACCAACUUACAUACUUUAACACCUCGGAAAUCAUAGGAAAUAUAUCAAUUUUACAUUGAAACAUGCAUAAAUUAAUGCUUAUUAUACAUAUGAACUUACCUCGAUACUAAAACGGCCAUUUUACCAACUUUCUCAAUUUUCAAUUUUUCUCUCAUUCUAGGUUCAAAUCUCAGUUUUCCGAGAUCUAAAACAUCAUAUUUUACUUAUUUAAUUAAUGUACUAUUCAAAACAGUCCUUAACUCAAACUUUGGAAAAAUUACAAUUUUGCCCCUAAACUUUUGCAUAUUUACACUUUUUCCCCUAGGCUCGGGAAUUAAACUUCAUCCCUUAUUCUUAUGUUUUAUGACAUGCUGAUCACUUUUCCCUCCUAUGGCAACAUCAAAUUCUCACUCUAACAUAUACUUAUGACUAUUAGGUAUUUUUACGGAUUAAGCCCUUUUACUCGUUUUCACUCAAAACCGAGUAGCACAAGUUGUCUAACAUAAUUUAAAACCUCAUGUUCUAUCAUAAAACAUCAAAAUAAACACAUUUCACCUAUGGGUAUUUUUCCAAAUAUGAACCCUAGCUUAAAUUAUUGCUAGAAUAAGCUUAAUCAAAUUACCGGGAUUCCAAAAACGUAAAGAACUUGAAAAACGAGGUUAGAACGGACUUACUAUUGACGUUGGAAAGCUUGAAAACCCUAGCCAUGGCUUCCCCCAUGCUAAUUUCGGCCUCCAUGAAAAAGAUGAGUCAAUUUUGGCUUUAUUUUCCCUUUUUAUUUCUUUUAAUUACCAAAUGACCAAAAUGCCCUUCCUUACUAAACUUUCAAAAAUUCCAUCCACGUCCAAAUUUUUUCCAUAACUUAGAAAUUGGUCAAAUUUCUAUUUAAGACCUCCUAAUUAAUAUUUCAAAGCAAUUUCAUACUAGAAACUUCUAGAAUGCAAGUUUUGCAACUUAUUCAAUUUAGUCCCUAACUUCAAAUUGAGCACUUUAUGCAUAGAAUUUCUUCACGAAAUUUUCACAAAAUCAUGCAAUCAUAUCAUAAACCUCAAAAUAAUCAUAAAAUAAUUAUUUCUAUCUCAGAUUUUGUGGUCCCAAAACCUCUGUUCCAACUAGACCCAAUUUUGGGCUAUUACAUGGCUAAUCUUAUCUCCAUGUAUCGGCAAUGGGGCAGAUUUAAGCCACUAGCCUUAUCUCUCUGAGGCAGCAAGAGAGAAAGUUGAAAAUUGUAGUCUUAUCUUCCUGAGGUAGCAAGGAAGCAGACUGAAGAUUACAGAUCUUAUCUCCCUAAGCAGUUGCGGAGCAGAUUGAGGAUGGCGAAUCUUAUCUCCAUGUAUUGGCAAUGGGGCAGAUUUAAGUCACCAGUCCUAUUUCCCUAAGGUUACAGUCAAGAUUCAGCAAAACCGGGCAAAAUUGGCCCUAUUUAAAGUCUUUGCUCUAUUCUCGUUACACGUUAAUGAGCAAAGAGGGGCAGUUGUAAGACCCAAUUUGUGCCCGGGUUUACACAAACUAAAAAACAAAUCAAAAUAUAAAUAAUAAUAAUAAUAAAGUCCAAUGUCCAUUUCUUACAUAGCCCAACAACCAAAAAUAACGGGCUCAAAUUAAAAAACCUAAACCUAACAAAAUACAUAGCCCAAUGGCCCAAAUAAUCCAAGCUUCAGUUUUAGAAAAUGAAACCCUAAGUCAGUAGCCUCGUGUCGCAGCCUUCACGAGUGACCUCGCUACAUCACACGUGCACCUCCAUUCCACUAUGUCAACGAAACCUGGGAGAAGGAAAAUAAAUAGCAAAGGAAUGCACGAGAGAGAAGCUAACAGAAUUUACAGCGAUUGACAACAAGAAAAUGUAAUUUUAUUUUUUAUUUACUCUGUAAAUUCGGCUAUAAAAAGCCGACUAAUGUACCUGCAAAGGAGGCAUAUUACGCACACUGUAUGCAUACACACAUACAAUAUAUAGAUACUGAAUAGAAAAGUUUAAAAGCAUUUUUGAAAAGGUGAUUUUCUUUAGUCUUUUUAACUCUUCUGUUAUUUUUUAUAUAUUUUCUUGCCAUUGUUUUCAUCAACUGUGUUUUAAAAUAAAGAGGAGAGAAAUGCAAGUCUCACCUUGCGAAUCGGCCACCGAUCUCCGUUCACUUCGUUGAGAUCGAAGUAGAAAGGGGAUCCAAAGGCAACAUCUAUUACUGCUGGUGCGCCAUUGACCACCAAAUGAAAUGGUGGAUUCGACAGAUGCAGAAAACCCAAGCAAAUUGUUUUUUGGGGGUUGUUAAUUAAAAAAUGGCUGAACUAAAAGAAGAGAAAAAGGCAUUAAAACCUUUGUAGAAAGUGGUGCUGUUUGAAAUGGAAAAGUCCGUGUGUAAACCCGAUGCAAAAGUCGGAUCUGUGCUCUUUUUAUGUUAAAUGGGCUAUUUGCACAUCUGAUCCUUCCCCCAUAUGUCAAUCUUCAAUCGGAUCCAACCUAUGCUACAUUUAUUUUUUUAUUUCAUCUGGGAAUUUGUACACUAUUGCGAUUUGAUCCAUAGCUAAAUUCAGCGUUUUGAAAAUUUGCACGUCUGAUCCUUCCCCCAUAUGUCAAUCUUCAAUCGGAUCCAACCUAUGCUACACUUAUUUUUUUAUUUCGUCUGGGAAUUUGUACACUAUUGCGAUUUGAUCCACAGCUAAAUUCAGCGUUUUGAAAUGAAAAUUAUUUCCAAUUCUGGUCCUUAUACAUUUGCAAGCAUGACGCCUAAGUCCCUAUUUUGAUUUUAAUACUUUUAUUUUUAAAAUUUCCUUCUCAUUUUAACUCAAUUUUAAUUUAGUUUUAUUUGUAUAGUCUACCAUACAUUCAACGUUGUACAUGUAUUAGCUUAAUUGAGAUUUUAAUUUAUGAUGCAUAUUAUUUAAAAUUCGUUUAAUUUUUUUAAAAUUAAUUUGAUCUUUGUUAACAGCUUCUUCUAUAUUUUAUUUGCAAUUAGGUUAUAGUUUUUUUUAUUUUGCAUAACCUUUAACUCAAAAUUUUUUUAUUUUGGCAGCUAUAUUAUUAAAAUCAAGUCUUCUGUUCACUAUGAUUUUGAGAAUUCAUUUGGUUCUUCAUAUAUAUACAUGCUAAAUUAUGUUUCUCACUUUAUAUAACUAUUAUUUUGAAGCUAUUUUACAUUAUAUUGUUUUAAUAAUUUAUAUAAUAUUUUUUUUAAUAUUUUUGUGUAUAUUUGUACAUAUAUUAUUUUAAUGGUUUUUUUGUAUUUAAAAUACUUAUUGUUUUAAAAUUCAUUUAAAUAUGUAUGUAAGGUUAUUUGGGAAAUUCAUUUUUGUGUUUACAAAAUUAGUAUUUUGAAACGCUUCUUUAUGUUAUAUUAUCUUAGUGUUUUAUUUAGUAUCUCUUCUAAAUGUUUUAAGUAUAAUAGUAUGUAUAUAAUUUAUAAGAUAAUCUAAUUUUAUAUGUAUUAUUAAUUUCAUAUUUUGUUUAUAUAAAUAAUUAUUCCUAUAUCAUAUGUGCAUGUCUCAAAAGAAAAUCUAUUAUGUGUACUAUACCUUGCCAUGUAUUAUUAUUUCUUCAUAUUUAAUAUAUUAUUUAAGUUAUCAUUAAGCAUAUAUUUUUGUAUUUAUAUUUAAUUUACAUACAUUAUUAAAACCAUGAUAUUUUUAAAUAUAUAGUUUUUUUUAAGUUUGUACCUAAUUAUUUUUAUUAAAUGCAUAGUAUGUGAUAAAAUUAAGUUAAUUUUACAAUUCAUAUUUUUAUUUCAUGAUAUUCUAACAUUUAAUUAUUUCUAAAAUAUAUGUAUAUAACCCAUAUUAAAUUAUUUUAUUAUAGUCUACAUUAUUGAUUUCAAAUUAAUAUUUCUUUUACGUAUAUAUAUAGUUUUUUCUCUUUAAAAUUAUUCAUGUGUAUAAUGCGUUUCUUUUAAGAACUAUAUUUUAAGUCGUACCAUUUAUUUAUUGUAUAUAUUCUCAUAUUUUAUUAUCCUUAUACAUGUAUUAUUUUCAUCAAUCCAAAUCAAGUUGUUAUAUAUAAAAUUAUGUUAUAUUUUGUUUUAAAUUUCCCUUUAUAAAUAUAGUUUUAUAAAUAUACAUCACUAAAUUUAUGUAUUUUGUAAAUAUAAUUUUCUUUGUCAUGUACACUCUAUCCUAUCAUGUUUUUUCUUUUUUCUUUUAUAUGUUAUUUAAGCAACCAUGCAUAUUAUCAAUUUUUAAAAUUUGUGUUUGAAAUGUUUUGCAUAUUAUUCGAUUCAAAUGUUUAUUCUACUAUAUUUAUGUCAAAUAAUUAUAUAUCUUUAGUUUUCAUACCAAUUUGUCAACUUAUUUUAUGUGUUAAUUAAUUCAUCAUUAUUUUGAAAAUGCCCUAUACUAUGCUAAGUUCUAAUUCCAUUUCAUUUUGUACAUAUUUUAUGGAUCAUUUUAUAUUAUGUCCUGUUAAUUAUUGUUGUAUAUCAUUUUUGUAUUGAUUGUUCGUCAUCUAUGAUUAAGAAUUUGGUCAUUUUACUUAGAAUAAUUGUACAUAAUUAUGGAUUUGUUAAUUGCGACUUGUUGUAUCCUAUUAUUUCAUGCUCAUUAACCCUUUCUCAUACAAAUGUUUUGAUACAAUGAAGCAUUCCAAUUUAAAAUGGAUAAACGUGUUUUGAGCAAAUUUCCAAUUUUCUUUCUCAUUCAAAAAUUCUGAAAUAAGGCCAUAUCCAAUAUUAGGGGAGUUCGGAAAAUCGUGCUCAAUCAUACUGGGUAUGAUUUUUUCGGUAAAUUAAAUAUUGGGAUAACCUUUUAUAAUUUUAGUUUACGAGUUUUCAAAAGUCAAAAAUCAAUCACGUUUUAAAGGUAUAAGGGAUCGUAUCCAAUCAUGCUGAGUAUGAUACUGCAUAUCUUUGAAACGAGAGAAUUUUGACCAUUAAUUUAAACUAUUUGAACAUUUUAAAAAAGAAUCAUACUUUGGGAAAUCUUUUCUUUAAAAGGCCUUUUGGCAUAAGGAUAGCAUCAAAGCAAUUUGGUACCAAUUUUUGGGCGUAAUGAGGGUGCUAACCCUUCCUCAUGCGUAACCGACUCCCGAACUCACUUUUUUGAUUUUACAUGAAUAAAGCGUUUUAGUAGGUGGCCCAAUCACACCUAAAUCAAGAGAUUGGUGGUGACUCCACAUUUUUGUUUUCAAAAGUCGAUCCCCAUUGUUUUCAAAAUAAAAAGGGUUUCGACAGUAACUAACUCGGUUUUUGAUAAUUUUUACAUUUUUGAGAUCGUUGCAAUGUAAUGUGCAAAGCCCAUGCUUGAAUUUCUGAUUUUGAUGAAUAUUUGAUUUUUUUAUGUUAGUUGAUGAAUUCUGAAAGAUAUGUUUUGGAUUAAUAUGUUUUGUAUUGGAAUUUUUGAUAAAUUUGAGUAAUUAGGGCUAAAUUGUAAAAAUAAUAAAUUGAAGGACUAAAAUGUGAAAGAAAUGAAAUGUAUGACUUGUAUGAGCAUAAGGAAGAUUUGGCCUAAGCAUGGUGUGUGCAAAAUUUGCAUGUUUUGUGUUUAGUGCAAUUUGGACUAAAUUGUAAAAACUAAAAAAUGCCAGGGUAAAAUGAUAAUUUUCCCAUUUAUGUGUUUUUGGACUAAAUUGGAUGAAAUUAUGUUUGAAUGAGUUUAAUUUGAAUAUGUUUAGAUCAAGAACUAAAGAAAUCGGAUUUGGAUCGGGGGAAAACCAAAGUUGUCGAUUAGUAGUCCCGUUCUGAUUAUCGUUGUCUAAGGUAAGUUUAUAAGCAAAUAGAUGUUGUUAAUUUUAAAUAAAUAUGAGUUUUAUAUGCUGAAAUGAAUUAUGAGAAAAUGUAUAUAUGAAAGCCGAAUGUUAAUAUGCUUGAAAGCUAUGUGUACGAGUUCAAUUCGACCGAGUUACGGCGUCCAAAAGCCUUGUACGAACCUUAGGAAUAGCUAGGAAACAUAUGUCAUGCCAUAGGAAUUUUGAUAUGUGUUCUCGUGUAAAACCACGUCUGGGACGUUGGCAUCGAUAUAUGUGGUUACAUAUAAGACUAUGUCUAGGACAUCGGCAUCGUAUUUGAUUCGUGUAAGACCCUGUCUGGGACAGUGGCAUCGAUAUGUGAUAGCAUGUAAGACCACGUCUGGGACGUUGGCAUUGUAUGAUAUGUGUGAUUAUCCGAGUAUCCUAUUUAAUUCCGAAUGGUUCAACGGGCAAUGAUAAGUUGUGGUCGAAUGUGUAAAAUUAAAUGAUCAGGUAUGAAAUAGUUGAUUACUUAUUUGAAAAGAAGGUAAGUUGGUUAUUUGAAAUGUGAUGCAAAAUUAUACCUUAUGUUAAUGUAAAUACAUAUGUGUAUUGGUGAAGUAUAUUCGGCCACAUGAUAUAUAAAUAAGUUUGAGAUAUUAAAGUUUGAUUUAAGAGUAUAUGCUAUGAGUGUGUAUUUCGGUUAUAUAAUGGUAAUAUGAUUUUGAAAUUGAUUGUUACUUUGGUAAUAGAUACAUGUAUAUACGGCAAAUGUAAAAAUUAUAUAUGAAAGUAUAUGUUUUAUAUGAAAUUGUGAGCUUGAAAUUAAAUGUGAUUAUUGAAGCAUAAAUUGAUUUGGUUAAAUUGAGUUGAUAUUGUCAUUGAGUUAUUGGUUUGCUUAUGACUUACUAAGCUAUGAUAGCUUAUUGUAUGUGUUUAUGUUUGUCUCUGUUUUAUAGAUUUUGGAGGCUAGUUACGAGCUCGGGGAUCGUUAGCAAAGUCUGCCAGACUAUUGAUCAUUUUUGGUAUUUUAUAAGUUUUUGAACUUGAACCUAUGGCAGGUAUAGGCUAGAUUAUAUUUGGUUAAGUUUGAAGUUGUGAUAUAUUAAGCCAUGCGAAAAUGGCUAAUAUGUUAUGUGAGUAUAUGAAACUUUAAUCAAGUUUGUAUGUGUUAUAUGCAUUGAAAAUGGUUGAUGAUUUUGGAUGUGGUUUGUUUGAAUCGACCAUGGUAUAUACAUAAGUAUGAAUUAUGUUUGUUAUGUUACUCACGGUUAAAAUGAUUUGUUUAUGUCUUGUAUUUGAUAGUAAUGGUUUAAUUUGGUUGACGAGUGUAUUUGGCUAAAUGUUGAAUUUGGGUAAUGAAUAUGUUUGAUUGAUGGUUCGGCACUUGCAUAUAUAUAUUUAGGCAUAUGAUGUAUUGGUUUGAUAAAUAUAUUAUCUCAAGGUAUAUAUGUUUGAGGUGUUGGUUAUAUGUUUCAGUAAUGAGAAACGUUAAGUAUGAUUUUAUAAAUUUGGCUUAGUAAGAGAUAAAAUAAUGAGUAUAUAUUGUAUGUGAAAUGGCUAUUAGAUUCGUUUGUUAAUUGAAAAUUAAUGAAUGUGUAUAAGUUAAUUUUUGCUAGUCGAAUAGAUAAGAGAGGAAUUGGUCUUGUGUAUGAUAUUUUGGUAUGAUGUAUAACUUGUGAAAUUGACAUGUUUUGAUUUGGCAUUAAUAUUUAUAAAUUUGGUUUAUUAAGUCAUAUAGAAGUGGUAUGAAUUUUUUGUAUGUGCAUUAAUGACCGAAUAGAUGAUGUUGGAAUGGUUAGUAUUAUGCAUAUAAAUUUUAGUAUGUUUUGAUUUGGUAAUUGUGUUCAAAAAUAGUCCAUAUUAAUAUGGUAAUAUUGUAACACCCCAAACCCCGCCCAGACGUUAUGGCCAAAUCCGACGUGCCACAUUAAAGUUAAAAAUCCAUGUCUCAUUUUAGUGUUUUAAAAGUCGACUUUUGUUAAGUUAACAAAGUGAAUAGAAGCUGGGCACCAGGUAGGUAUCCAUAACAGAGGAGGUGAGCCAUGAAGGUUGCUUAAGUACCAAGCUCUUCGAUUGGAUCCAAUCCUAGACAUGCCCACAACCAUUGCCACACUUGGUUAUAACGAGUUGAAAUUUCUUUGAGUGGAUAUCUUUGAUAAAUCGCAUAAUCGUAACGUUGUGUUAUUUUGAAAACAAGUAUCAUUUUGAAAACGUGCCCUAGGUCUAGCCCAUUUGAAUUAUUAUCGACCAGUUUAAAGUUAUUAAAAAUAAAAUAAUCCCUGAAAAGAGAAGAAAACAAAGUUAAAAUGGCCUUAUUACAACCCAAAAAUAAGUAGUAAAUAAGAUAAACUAAAGAAAACCAGUCACUUAUUUCAAAGCCCAAAAGCGAUCACCAUGGCCACUCUGAAUCCCUUCCAACUCCAAGUCCCCAAAUCAAGGCUCACCUACAACGUUAGGAAGGGGGUGAGUUUGGAAACUCAGUGUGCAACAAGCCCCUUUUAAAGCCCAAAACAAUAUCAGCCCGCUGGGCCUAAGCCCAACUUCAAUCUCAACAUAUACUGGGCCGAAGCCUUUGCAUUAUUCAUGUCACUGGGCCAAAGCCUUUUCAUUAUCAUAUCACUGGGGCGAAGCCUUUACUGUAAACGGUAUGGCCCAUAGGCCCAAAUCAAUACCACAUGCAUUAUUAAUGGAUGUAUGCAAGCCCAUUUGGGGAGACUACUCAACCCACCAACCGCUACUCUCCACCCGUACCAACCAAGCUCUCCAUGUGGGGAAUAACUCAACCCACCCAACCAAACUCUCCACUGGUAGCAUAGCUACUUUAUCAUAUAACUGGAGGCCUAGCCUCUUUUAAUAACAGGGGCAAAGCCCUUUUUGAUAAACUGGGGCAAAGCCCUUUUCGGUAAACUGGGGCAAAAGCCCUUUUCCACUUCCUCCAUCCAUAUAAAACCCAACCCAUGCAUAAAUGAAUACAUUAUGUGCAUAUCAUACAUAUCAUGCGCAUAUCAUGUCCAAUCAUGUAUAUCAAAGUCUCAUGCAUCAAACUCAUAAUUAAACCCUAGGGGUAUAAUGGUCAUCUUUACCUAGGGGCAAAACAAUCAUUUUCCAUAUUAUAAGGGUAAUUUUGUAAUUUUACCAAAAUAUCAGGGUUUCCAUGUUCAUUAACCAUUACCAAUCACUCCAAGUGUUUAAACAAUGAUUUUAACGCACUUUACCAAAUUCGGGCUUUUGGACCCAAACCCCUAAUGGGCCCUACGAAUGUCGAUUUAGUCACCUAGGCCCAUUUAGCUAUAUUCCACAACGGUAUUAACAGUCUUAAUGUGCAAUUUUACAGGAUUCCAUUUUCUACCAAAUUUACCCGAAUGGGCCCGGAAGCCCAUUGGGCCCGAUUUUAGCCCCUCGAGGCCCAACUUACCAUCGUGCACAAAAUCGUGCCCUUACCUGUUCCAACGAUCCCAAUCAUCGAACUUAGCGAAACUAACUAACCUAUGAGCAGUUGCGUGCUCACGAGUCCUCGAAAUACCAGAAUUUCGGCAUUUCAGCUUUUUGGCAUAUAGCGAUUUAAGCUACGAAAAAGGGUUCGUUACAUACCUGAUUUGCGAUAUUCCUUGACGAGAUCUCCCACGGCAACCUACAAUUAUAUACCUCCAUUUUUAGUGUACAAAUCAUACUUAUCAAACCCAAAAUCUACCUUACCACAUUCGGCCAAAGACUUCUAAUGGCCAUAGUUCACUUACCUUCACAAGGUUUAACGAUAUGAUCCAAGCCUAUCCAAAUCGACACCCCACACCUUGCUGCUCCUCCAACGUAUCUACUCCACUAUACAAACCAUAAAAAUUCAAAAGAAAAAGCCCAAUAAGGGUUAUAUCCCUAAUCGGCCACCUCCCUAAACUAUAGGGGUUUCGACUUUUGUCAACAGUUACUACUGAAUCAGUUUAUAGCACGAAUACUUACUACAAUCUCCCUCAUUGAACCAUUUAAAACUUAGAAGAUAAAGGGAUUGGCCACCAAAACGUGAAGGGAAAAGGAAGGUUGCUGGUCAAUAAAGAAUCGGCACCACCAAGCUUCACAGGUUCGGCUUUUUGCGGCUUUUCGGUAGAUGUGGAGGUAGGGAAAGAAGUAGUAGGUGAACGGAAGGAGGUAGUGAGCUAGUUUUGGAGAAAAGAAAAGGAAGGAAUGCUGGAUGUAAGGGUGGUAGAUUCAGCUAGAGGAGAAGAAAGAAAAAGAAAAGACUAAUCUAAAGAAGAAAACGGCAUAACCUAAGUCCCUAAUGCCGAAAAUACUUACCUAAUACCCCUUUGCCGAAAUCCCCUCUCGAAUCCCCUCUAUUCGGCUAACUCUAUCUCCCUCUCAAAUCCCUAAAAUCUCUCCCCUUAUCCCUCCUUUAAUCCAUACGUUUGACUAAUUCAAACUCUCUCCCACAGAGUUCCAUUCGGCUACAACUCCUGCAUGCUCAAAGUAUAAAAAUUAACAUCACACUUGCCAUCACAGGGAAUCGAACCCAGGCUUUCCUCUUGCAAUGACCCGUACCCGAGACUGUCGCCGGAGUCGAACACGAGGUGUUAACAGACUUAAUUCAUUACUUAAAUAGCUCAAAUAAUUUAUUUUUAAAAUUUUCAGUCAAGCUAGCAAUCUGCAUCACAGUCGCUUAAAAAUUCAUAUCUCAAGUUCCAAAACUCUAAAUCUAGAUCUGUAAAUUUUCCCUGAAACUAGACUCAUAUAUAUAUUUACUAAUUUUUUUUCUAGAAUUUUUGGUUGAGCAAAUUAGUACAGUUUAUUAGUUAAAGUCUCCCCUAUUUUAGGGUUUGACUGCUCUGACCACUGUGUAUUACGAAUCAGAUAUCUCCGUGUACAGAGUUUCAAUGACUAUGCCGUUUGUCUCUAAUAAAAAUAGACUCAAUAAGGAAUAUGUACAUAUAAAUCAUGACUUCUAAUUAUCUUUUAACAAUUUAUGGUGAAUUUCCAAAGUCAAAAUAGGGGAUCCAGAAAUCGCUUUGGCCCUGUUUUACAAAAAUUUAAACAUCUCAUAAAAUAUAACUCAUAUACCUGUUUUGUUCCAUCCAUAUGAAAAUAGACUCAUAAUUAUUAAAUUCCAUAUUUAUUCAUCAUCUAAUUGUAUCUAUACUAUUUUUAAUGAUUUUUCAAACUCACGUCACUGCUGCUGUCUGAAUCUAUUUUAUGGUAAAUUUUGCCUAUUUCAUGGGUUCCAUGAAUUAGCUAGCAAUUUAGCAUACAUAACACCAAAUAUGAUCAUGAUUAGUCAUUCCAAUGGCUAAUCAUUACCAAGCAUUUCCAUACCACUCAAUAACCAUAUCAUAAGACCAUAUAUACAAAAUGAUUAUAAUGCUAUACAUGCCAUACUCAAAAUAUGCAAGCCAUUAUGCCAAGACGGUAUACGGAUAGUGUGAGCAUGCCUCCGAUCAUUCCCAAUUUCCGAGCUGGCUUGUCAACACUACAAGGAAUGAAAAGGAGGAAGUAAGCAUAAAUGCUUAGUAAGCUCACAUGCAAAUAGCAAGUAACACAACUAUAUAAGCAAACAUAAAACAUCAUUUGCAUAAUCAUCACCGAGACAUUCAUAUCACAUUUUCAUUUAUCAUCUUACCAUAUUGUUGUUAUAUCGAGUUUUCAACCCGAGGGUUAAGUACAUACCUGUUCAAAGUAUUCAUUUCACAAAACUUACCAAUACGUCCCUUUCAUCUCGAGUAUUCCUCCAUUUGAGUAGAAUUUUACCCGUUGAACACAUCGGAAUAUAAUUCGGAUACAUGGAAAGUUUGCACAUAAGUGCCACAUAUGUAGCCAAGCUACCAUGUAACCCGCCCGUAAGUGAACUCGGACUCAACUCAACGAGCGCGGGCGUUCGCAUCCAUAAGUGAACUCGGACUCAACUCAACGAGUUCGGACAUUCGCAUCCAUAAGUGAACUCGGACUCAACUCAACGAGUUCGGAUGCCCAAAUAUCCUAGUGACAUGUCACUUGUACCCUAAUCUAUUCCUAAGGUUCAAACGGGAUUUUCCUCGAACACAUCUCCAUGCCAUCUUACGUAAAAUACCGAAACCAAUACUCGGUAGCACUUUAUAUUUAACAAAUAAUUCACAUAAUUUGCAUUUUAUUCGAAAAUAACCACAAAGCAUAUAUUUCAUGAUAAAAAUCAGCAUAUCAUAUAAUUAACAUCAAUAACUUAAAAAUAACAAUUAUACUACAUUAUUUACACACGAACUUACCUCGUAUGCGAAAAUGGCUAUUUUUACCAUUUCGUCCACAACUUGGUAUUUUCCCCAUUUUAGCCCGAAUUUCAGUUUUCCUUGCUCUAUCAUUUAAAAUAUAGUCUAAUUAGGACUCACAUUAUUCAAAUUGACCCAAAAUCAUAUUUUGGAAAAAUUACAAUUUUGCCCCUAAACUUUUGCAUAUUUACACUUUUGUCCCAAAGCUCGUAAAUUAAACUUCAGCCUAUUUUCUUAUGUUUUAUGACAUGCUGAUCAUUUUUCCAUUCUAUGGCAACAUCAAAUUCUCACUCUAACAUGUACUUAUGACUAUUAGGUAUUUUACCGAUUAAGCCAUUUUGCUCGUUUUCACUUAAAAUCGAGUAGCACAAGUUAUCUAACAUAAUUGAAAACCUCAUACUCUAUCAUAAAACACCAAAAUACACAAAUUUCACCUAUGGGUAUUUUUCCAAAUAUAAACCCUAGGUUAAAUUAUUGCUAGCAUAAGCUAAAUCGAGCUCCCGGGACUCCAAAAACGUAAAAAUCAUUAAAAACGAGGCUAGAACGGACUUACAAUCGAGCUUGGAAGCUUGAAAAACCCUAGCCAUGGUUUCUCCUUGCUAUAUUCGGCCAUGGGGUUGAAGAUGAGCAAAAUUGGCUUUUAAUUUUGUAUUUUAAUUCAUUUUACCCCUAAAUGAACAAAAUGCCCUUACUACUAAACUUUCCAAAAAUUCCAUCAAUGUCCAAUUUUUGUCCAUAGACUUAGAAAUUGGUAAAAUUACUCUUUAAGGACCUCUAAUUAAUAAUCUAAUUCAAUUUUAUGCAAAAUUCUUCUAGAACACAAGUUUUGCAAUUUAUUCAAUUUAGUCCCAAAUUUCAAAUUAAGCACUUUAUGCAUAAAAUUUCUUCACGAAAUUUUCACACAAUCAUGCAAUCAUAUCAUAGACCUUAAAAUAAUCAUAAAAUAAUUAUUUCUAUCUCAGAUUUUGUGGUCACGAAACCACUAUUCCGACUAGGCCCAAAAUCAGGAUAUUACACCUCCUACCACUUACACGCCACCUUUUUAGCUCCUUAGUGGCGUCACUUAGCCACUUUACCAGAGGCUCUCUUGUGAUACAUUUUAUCCACAAAUUUUAAUAAGACCACCUAUCCAAAGCCCCUAACUUCUUAAGUCCAAAAUUCAAAAAUUCUACUGGGUUUUGGCCAUCACAUGGGCCUUCCAUAAGCCUAUUUACACACUCCAAUUAUGAAUUUCACAACCAUAUACCAAAUUUUAAAAAUUUACCAAAAUCUCACGAAUCAAGGAAAAACCCGAAAAUCAGGAUGUUACAAAUAUGCACAUGAAAUUGCUAUGUAAAAGAAGUAUAUUUGGCCAUGUUGUAAUACUAGCUAUUAUCUUUUCUGAUAAUGAAUAUUACACUAUGAUAUAAGGUGAUAUGGUAUAAUAUAUGAAUGUAUAUUGAUUAUGUUUUCAAAAGCCCAUGCCACAUAUAUUUUAUAUGACUUUGAAUUUUUUUAUUGAUAUUUUUAUUAUGAUUUAAAUUAUGUGUUUAAUGUUGAAAUAGAUUUAUGUUUUUGUUAUGUGAAUAUAACAUAUAUGUAUAUGUGAAUGUUUGAAAUUUUGUGUCUCGUCCAGUAAUUCCUCGUAACCCCAUUCCGGCCAUGGAUACGGGUUAGGGGUGUUACAAUAUAUCAUUGCAUUAUUUACACAUGAACUUACCUCGGUACAAAAUAGAGAUAAUGUAUACGAUUUAGUCCAAAAUCUUAUUCUUUCCCCGGUCUACGUCAAGACUCUGUUUUUCUUGAUAACCAAGCUUGAAAUUUGAACAAAACCCUAGCUAUGAUGUCUUGAGAGUUUCGACCAAGCAUGAAGAAGAUGAGCAUAUUUUUUCUUUGAUUCUCCCUUUUUAUUAUUUUAAUUACCAAAUGACCAAAAUGCCCUUAGGGUCUUUCUUUAAAAUUUUUCCCACACAUGUCUAUUUUUGUCCGAACUUUUAACAAUUGGUUAAAUUGCUAGUUAGGACCUUCUAAUUUAUAAUCUAAAGCAAUUUCAUGCUAAAAGCUUCUAGAAUACAAGUUUUGCAUCCUAUUCAAUUUGAUCCUUAAAGCUCAAUCGGACAUUUCAUGCAUAGAAUUUCUUCAUGAAACUUGCACACAAGCAUGCAAUCAUAUCAUAGACCUCAUGAAAAUCAUAAAAUUAUUAUUUGUAUUUUGGAUUCGUGGUCUCGAAACAACGAUGUUACAAUGAUUGGGUAAAUGUUGGUCUUAAAAAUAGCUUGUUUAAGGUCAAAUUAUGGAGCACACGGCCUGGGACAUGGGCUGUCACACUACAGUGUGAUACACAUGGCCUGGCUCGAUAAUAAUGUGUCACUUAUUAUUUCAUUUCAGUGAGUUACACGGUCUAGCACACAGCUUACGGCACAGCCGGGUGGCCCAACUUUGAGAGUUACAUGGUUUAAAACAUGGGCUGGGACACGGCUGUGUGUCCCUUUAUUCGAAUACGGCACGGUAUGGGCUAUGUCACAUGACUGUGUGACCCUUGAUUUCAAAGUGUACAAAUUUUUUUGUAAUUUUCUAAAUUGUGCAGAAUUAGUCACAAAUUGUUUUUGAACUAUUUUAGGGCCUUGAGGUGUAAUUCUCUGUAACCGUAAAUCAAUGACGAAGAUGGGUUAAGGGUGUUACAAUAAGAAUAAUAGUAGAGUUUUAGUUGCUUUGUACUUUGUUUAAAGUUUUCAAUGUAGGAACCCAACAUAAAGGAGACACAACAAUUUGAGCUAUUAACGAACAAAGGAGAAAGUACCCACCAAUAGCAGUUGGAACAACCACGAUCAAUCAGGUAACUUCUUUCCUUAUCUUCUUUAUGGCUACACAUUGAAGACAAUGUGUUAACUAAAGUGUAGGGGGUAACAUAGAAAAUUAGUUUUAGAUUUACAUUUUUCUUUGAGUUUUCAUGUCAUUUGUGUGCUUGAGCUUGUAGAAAUACAAGUGAUUGGUUAGGAACAUGUACAUAGGCUGCUUGCGGCUACAAAUAAAUUUGGCAUGAUGAUAGGUGAUUUUAAUUUUUUUAUCAUUAGACUACUAAGUUCUAUAUAUUACUCUGGAAAUAGGAAUUAAGCAAUUAACUGUACCAAAUGAUUUAGAAAGUGCAAGGAAACGGGCAUGCUAGUAUGAAUGAUAAAUUGUUUAAUUGGAGUUUUUUUGGUUGAUUAAAGUUGUGCAUAUUGAGAUAUUUAGGGAAUGACCUAAGACACUAUUUGGAACAUAUCUAGAGCCAAAAAGCUGACCUAUAUUUUUUCACCUUUAGUACCGAUUUGAGCCUGUUAACACUUCUUAAUGAACCUCAUUACAAAACUCGAGCCUAAAAUGUUAAUUUGUAUUUGCCAUUUUUUCUUUGAUCCUAGACAUUUGGCCAUAUGUAUUGAGGGUUAAGUAGAUACAUCAUGGUGAAUUUUGUAACACCCUUAAUCCAUAUCCAUUGCCGGUGUAGGGUUACAGAGCAUUAUUGUAAAAACGUAACUUUAAAACAUACAUCUCAAACAUUAACAUAAACAUAGCAUAAAUCAUUCAUUUAGAUGCAUAUCAUCCCUUAAUUGAGUCUUCAGGGCGUUAGAAACAUUUUACAAAUAAACUAAAUUGAAAACAUUGGGAAUAUUUAAGAAAAAGUUGGACAAACUGAACUGCAGGGGUCACACGCCGUGUAGUCAGGUCGUGUGACUUACACGGCUGAGACACACGCCCAUGUCUCAGGCUGUGUAACAAUCAAAAUAGGGACACACGGCUAUGUUCUAGCCCGUGUCCAUGCCCGUGUAACUUUCAAAGUUGGAUCAUAUGGCCAAGCCACAUGCUCGUGUGCCAGGACGUGUAACUCUCAAAAUGGCCACACACGCCCCUGUGCCAAGCCAUGUACUAGGCCAUGUAAAUGGCUGACUUGCAAAACUUAAAACCUAUAAAGGACACACGACUGUGUCGCAUGGCUGUGUGUCUCACAUAGCUGAGCCACACGCUCGUAUCUUAGGCCGUGGACAUGAAAUUGGCCAAAUUCAAGUCAUUUCCAUCACCAUCCCAAGCAUGUACUUACAAGAAUUUUGUGAACAACUUCAAAGCUUCAAAACUUUACCAAAACAUGCAUUAAAUGACCAAUUCAAAAGACCAAAUCCAUACAACCAAUAUGCCAUACAAGGCACCUCAAAAGAAAACAUACAACAUACCUAAACAUAUGCAUAUUUGACCAUAUUUCAUUCAUAGACAUCUAAUUCAAUACCUUUCUAAAGCAUAGCCUAUCUUGACCAUUUUGAAACUAUUCCCUCACAUACGAUAUUGGCCAUUAAAACAUGCAUCAAACUUAGCCAUAUUAACACAUACCAACAAGGCAUCAAAAGUACCAAAAGUACAUCAACCCAAAAUAACAUAUACAUGCCAAACUUAUUGUAACACCCCAAACCUGGCCCAGACGUUAUGGCUGAAUCUGACGUGUUACAUUGAAGUGUUUUAGUGAAAACCUUAUUUUCAUUGAAAACCCUUCUUAAAAUGAGAAACUUUAAUUAACUAAAAAAAAACUUUUCAGUUACGAAAACCUUGUUUAAAACAUUUGAUUUUUUUAAAAAAACUUAGUUGCGAAAACGUAGGAAACAUACUAUAAUUUAAGAAAUUCAUGUUCAACUUCUCGUAAAAAAUAAUAAUAAUUCAAGUAAUAAUAACAUAAUAAAAACCUUAUUACAAUCUGAUUUGAACACACUUAAAAAGAAAUAAAAACUUAAUGAGUAAAAAAAAAACCAAGUCUGAAUUAUCUUGCUAGUCGACCACCUUGAGUCCCUCCAAACAUCGACUCUUCUACUGAGCAUCACUUGAAAAUAAAAUAAAAGUGGGGGUGGGUUUUUGCAAACUCAGUGUGUACAACCCUCAAUGAAGAACAAGCAUUCAAAUACAAAUCAUCAAACAUGCAAUGCAAUCCCAUCCAAAUUAUCCAUCCACUACACACCAGCUUCGUCCCCCAUCUCACCAUGUGGGGAUAUAAAUAUCGACCCACCCAGCCCACACACUAAUGGUAGCCCGGUUACGGAACUACCUUCAUUUACAUAGUGGGCUUUAAAAGCCGUCGAUGGAUCCAUGAUUGUCAAGCAACCAUGCAAAUCCUCAUAUACUUCCUCCAUUCCAUAAUUCCCACCCAUAUAAAACCUAAGCAGAACAUCAUAUGUAUGCAUGUCACAUCCCCAAAACUUACAUUCAACACAUAGGGAUAUUUUGGUCAUUUUGCCCUUAGAGGCAUUUCGAUAAUUUUCCCUUAAUUACGGUUUUCACUUACCUUGGCCCAUGAACAAGUCCCGUGAGCUAAGAUGAACGAAUACUAUGCACCAGGUAGGAUUCCAGAGAAGAGGAGGUGGGUCAUUAAGACCGCUUAAGUACCAAGCUCUCCUUAGAUCCAAUCCUAGACAUGCAUAUACCCGUUGCCGCACCUUAACCCUAUGACUUGUCCACAGUCUCAUUUAAUUAAUUAUGUUUUAUGUAGUCAUCAUAUACUAGGCCCAAUACCCCUACAUACAUGCAUAUGGCCCACUAGAACCAAUCUUAUUCAAAUGGCCCAUCUGGCCCAGUUCAUAUUCUUAUGGCCCAUUAGGCCCAAUUCACAUUCAUAUGGCCCAUUAGGCCCAAAUCAUAUUAUAUUCAUGCUCACAUACAAAUUUCCUAACACAUAGCAUCACUUAUCAAUCCUUGCCUAUUAUGGGCCUAAUAGCCCAUUAAGCCCAUUUAGCCCAUUCCGGCCCAUUUGGCCAAUCCUCAACCCAAGUCCACGGAAUCGCCUGUGGGCCUCAGGCAACCUAUCGAUUUCCUCUCCACGAGUGUUCGCGCACUCGUGUGACUACCGUAGCCCAACUUUCAGCUUUUCGACAUUUUGGCUUUUGCCGAUUCAUUGAGUCUGUGCAGUGUAUGUACACACCUGGUAGGCAAGCAUGCUACGAUUUCCUUAGUCCAAACCUACAAUCGAUAUCACUCAAAGAUUAAUCUCACAAACUUAUCGAAUACUUUACCAAAAGCCAGAAUCUCACCUUAACCUUACCUUGCACGAUAAGUAUAACAACCCCUUCACUAACCACAAUCAACUCCUAGAUCUGCACCAAUUGUAACUAUUAAAACCAGAAUAAUAGGUGACUCGUAUCCAACACAAGUCCCCUUACCUUACUAUGGCUAUUCGGCCAACCUUAGCCAAUGAGUGAGGAAUACUUACCAAAACUGCAACACCUAAGGGGCAAUUAGACAAUGAGCUAAGAUCUGAGAUCCGAUACUAAUUCCCUACCUCAGUUGAUUAGAAAGAGUGAGGGACAAUAUUCGAUACUUAGCAAAGAAAUCGCUUGGGAGAACAAUACUUACACUAGAUUUGACUGGAGUAGAAGUAGUAGUGAUUGUACCAAGGGUAUUCGGCCAAAGAGGCUCGGCCCUUUACGAUUUUGUAUGGCAAAAGAGGGUUAUUGGCUCCAGAAAAAAGAAAGAAAAGUCAGUAAUGAAGAAGAGGAAGAAUAGAAUUCGGCAUAAGGAAGGAGAAAAAGAAAAGAAAGGUAGAGGGUUUUCGGCUUUUAGAGAAAAUAGUUUCUGGUAAUAAGGUGAAGGAAAUUCGGUCAUUAGCUUUAUACCCUAGCAUUCGACACCUAUUUAUAAGCCUUAUAGCUGAAUUUUCCCAUGCCCAAUUCCCCAUUUUGCUCUAUCACUUCUCCCUUCUCAUCUCUUCAUUUUUCUCCCUGAUGACCCUUUGAUCCUUUCCUUAAUUUUCUCUCCUGAACACUUCCCUUGAAGUCCACUUUCACGCCACUUCCAUCCUUCUAGAAGGUAAAAAUUAAACUUCUAAAAACACUAAGCUAGGAUUCGAUCCUUGGACCUCCUUGCUAGCUAUUAACGCCACCUCUCUACACUCUAAGUGGCGUCACUUAGCCACUCCUCUACUAGGCUCUUUGCUGCUAUUUUCCCCUAUCUUUAUUUAAAAGCCCAACUACUUGCCAACCCUAAUUUUUUUUAAUAAUUAACUUAUAAUUUCUUCUACCCCUUAAUUCGAACUCGAACCUUGACCAAGACCUACCUUUGCGUAAUUAGCACUUAACCAGAAUUAUUAAGCACAAAAUAAAAAAUUUAAGAUUUCGGGAUUUUUGGACUUCAGGAUUUUUGGGGCGUUACAUUUAUCAACUAACAUUCAAACAUAAAUCCACCUAUACAUGCCAUUAUUACCUUAGCCAAAACAUCAAAAACUACCGAUAUAAUUGUUGGAUAGUUUGAUAUAUCUCCGAUGAGCUUCCAAACUGAUCGAGCUUCUAAUUGUCUAUAAAAUAUAGGAAAGAAAACUAUGUAAGCAUAUAAUGCUUAGUAAGUUCGUAAAACAUGAGCAUAACUUACCAUUUAAAGCAUAACGUGAAAAUUAAGCAUGAUAUAAUCCAAUCAUAAGUUUGGCACAAGCCUAGGCACAAGCCUAAGCACCAUCAACAACACAUGUUAGUGUAUUAACACAUAAUUCACUUGAAUUAUCAUAAGGUAAGCUAGGUGUACAUGAAUAUACUACUUUUCAAUUCAUCCUUUUCUUGAACAUAGAUAUACUUUCAUUGAAUAUUUACAUUUCAAACCUUUUCAUAGAUUUAUGACAUAGUUCAUUUGACCACUUAUCGUUCCUUUCCUUUUCAUACCCGUUGAACCAUUCAGAAUAACAUUGGAUACGUAGGGAAGCUCACAUGAAGUGUGCUAAACGUACAACCUUCCCUUUCCUUUUACAUCAUUGCCCACAUAAGCUGUGAAAUGGGCCUGCUCAGAUGAUCUGUGGGUCAUAAUGUAAGCUACACGAUGUUGCUUACAUGAGCUAUGGAGUAACUACAACAAAUGUAGGACCCCAGCCAUCGGUACGACAUUCAAGACCAGCACCCGAAACAUAAAAAUCCAAAUGACAUGUCAUUUGUAUCCUACGAAUUGCUAAGGUUCAAAAGAGGCUCCUUAAUCAUGGUGACAUCAUUGGAUUUACGUCAUUUAGCUACAUGGAAAAUGACACAUUAACAUAUAGAUCAAUAUAACAUUAAAACAUUUUUUAACCAUACGAGCUUACAUCAACAAACAAAGCGUAAAAAUGUAGUCGAUCAAUCUGAAGCUUUCGCUUUUUCGCAAUCUAAAUUUGUUUGAGGUCUAUCUUGAUCUAAAUAGAUAAAUUCAAUUCAUUUAAUACUUCUAUUAUUCAAGUUAGUUAAUAUUUCAUUUUUAUAAAAUUAUAAUUUUUCCCCUAACAUUUUAACAUUUUACAAUUUAGUCCUUAAGCUCAUAAAUUGAAAUCUAAGCAUUUUUAUCCUCAUUUCAUGCUAGCUGAAUUCACCAGGGACAUAUACCAACUCAUACAAAUCACCAUUUCAUGAAUUGAACUUAAACUUUUAUCAUUUUUACAAAUAAGUCCUUAAAUGAAAAUUUCAUCAUAAAUCCCUUUACAAAACUUGUUUAUUUAACAACAAGGAUUCAUAUUCUUCCAUUAAACUUCAAGAGUCAUACAAGAACAUUCAUGGAAAAACUCUAAAUCUUUAACCCUUUUGCAAUUUAAUCUUAGGCUAGCUAGAUUAAGCUACAACGAUCCCGAAAACAUAAAGAUCAUUAAAAAUAGAAUAAAAAGUCACUUACAUGCAAGCCAUAUUCUUAGUUGAAUCAAAGAACCCGAAAAUGGUGAUAUUCUCACUUGAAAAUUUGGUGUAAGAAGAUGAAUGCAAAUAGAAUUUUGUUUUAUUAAAUUUUAACCUUAUUUACCUAAUUACUAAAAUAACCUUUAAAAACUUUAAUAGUUUCAAUAAAACCAUGCCAUGUAUGUCCAUUAACCACAUAAAUGGUCUAAUUGCCAUCUAAGUCCACUCACAUUUAAAUUUCAUAGCUAAUUGAUAUCUAAGUCCCGAAUUUUGAUUUUUCCUUGCUCUAUCAUUUCAAAUAUAGCCUAAUUAGGACUCACAUUAUUCAAAUUAACCCAAAAUCAUAUUUUGGCAAAAUUACAAAAUUUCCCCUAAACUUUGUCAAAAUUAUAUUUUUGCCCCUAGGCUUGUAAAUUAAACUUCAUCCUAUUUACUUAUGUUUUAUGACAUGAUGACCAUUUUCCCUUCUAUAGAAACAUCAAAUUCACACUCUAACAUGUACUUAUUAACAUUAGGUAUUUUUACUGAUUAUGUCGUUUUACUCGUUUUCACGUAAAAUCGCUUAGUAAAAGUUGUUUAACACAAUUUCAAGCUUCAUAUUCUACCAUAAAACAUCAAAAUAAACACAUUUCACCUAUGGGUAUUUUUCCAAAUAUAAACCCUACAUUAAAUUAUUGCUAGAAUAAGCUUAACCAAGUUACCGGGAUUUCAAAAAUGUAAAAACUUUAAAAACAGGGCUAGGGAGCACUUACAAUCGAGCUUGGGAGUUUGAACAAACCUUAACCAUGGCUGUUGCUGGUAGAAAUGGAUGAAUGAAGAAGAAGAUAGCUAAUUUGGCUUAUUUCCCUUUUUUAAUUUUUUUAAUUAUUAGUUUACCAAAAUACCCCUAACUUAAAAAUAAUUUAUUACACCCAUUUCAUGUCUAUUUUUGUCCAGCAGUUACCCAAUGGUCUAAUUACCAUUUAAGGACCCUCAAUUUAAUUGGACACCUCUAGUAUGUAGAACUCAACUUUUGUACUUUUUUACGAUUUAGUCCUUUUGACUAAAUUAAGUGCCCGAACGUCAAAAUUUUCGAACGAAAUUUUCACGAAAUUAUUUCGUGAAAUUGUAGACCAUAAAAAUAUAAUAAAAAAUAAAUUUUCAUCGUCGUAUUUGUUGUCCCCAAACCACUGUUCCGACUAGGCCUAAAAUCAGGGUGGUACAGGGUGCGCCAGUUCUAUUUGUGAGAAAGAAUGAUGGAACUAUGAGAAUGUGCAUUGAUUAUCGACAACUCAAUAAAGUGACCAUAAAGAAUAAAUAUUCGUUGCCACGCAUUGAUGAUUUGCUCGAUCAACUAAAGGGAGCUUCAGUGUUUUUGAAAAUAGAUUUGAGAUCAGGUUACUAUUAGUUGCGAGUUAGAGAUUCGGAUGUGCCUAAGAUUGCUUUCCGAAUGAGAUACAAACAUUAUGAGUUUUUGGUGAUGCCGUUUGGACUUACUAAUGCACUUGCUAUUUUCAUGGAUUUGAUGAAUCGAAUCUUCAAACAGUACUUAGAUCGAUUUGUGGUUGUGUUUAUUAAUGAUAUAUUGAUCUAAAUUGGUAUUACAGACUUUGGGGCAUAUGGUUUCGGCAUCAGGAAUACGGGUUGAUCUAAGUAAGAUUUCGGCUAUACUUGAUUGGAAACCCCCGAGAAAUGUUUCAGAAGUUUAGAGUUUUCUAGGACUUGCUGGUUACUACAGGCGAUUUGUAAAAGGUCUCGAUGAUUGCAACUCCAAUGACAAAGCUAAUUCAAAAUAUAUUAGAUUUGAGUGGACAGAAAGGUGUCAGAAAAGUUUCGACCAAUUGAAAACUUUGUUGACUAAAGCUCCAGUGCUUGUUCAACCGAAAUCGGGUAAAGAGUUCGUUAUCUUUAGUGAUGCAUCCUUGAAUGGUUUGGGAUAUGUUCUAAUGUAGGAAGGAAAAGUUGUAGCUUCUGCCUCAAGGCAGUUAAAGCUGCACGAAAAGAACUACCCGACACACGAUCUCGAAUUGGCCGCUAUAGUGUUUGCUUUGAAGAUAUGGCGUCAUUAUUUGUUUGGUGAAAAAUUUCAUGUUUAUUCUGAUCACAAAAGUAUCAAAUAUUUGAUGACUCAAGAAUAUUUGAAUUUGAGACAGCGACGAUGGUUAGAGUUGCUUAAAGAUUACGAGCUUGUGAUUGAUUAUCACCCGGGAAAGACUAAUGUGGUUACUGAUGCCCUAAGCCAAAAAUCACUGUUUGCUCUGUGUCCAAUGAAUGCAGAUAUGGCUAUGACUGACGAUGUUGCAAUUAUAGUAGAAUUAAAAGUGAGACCAUUAUUUAUUCAGCAGAUUUACAAAGCUCAAAGGGUUGAUUAAGACUUGAUAGCAAAAAGGAAUUAGUGUGAUUCGAAUGCUGACUCGGAAUUUCAGGUUGAUGCUGAGGGAUGUUUGUGGUUCAGAAACCGAAUAUGUGUACCAAAGGAUCCUAAGUUGAUUCGGAUGAUUUGUAAUGAAGCUCAUAAUAGUAGGUUUUCUAUUCACCCGGGUAGCACGAAGAUGUAUAAUGAUCUGAAACAGUACUACUGGUGGCACAGUAUGAAAAUAGAUAUUUCAGACUUCGUGUCGAAAUGUUUGAUAUGUUAGCAAGUAAAAGCCGAGCAUCAAGUACCAUCAGGAUUACUUCAGCCAAUUAUGAUACUUGAAUGGAAAUGGGACCGAGUCACAAUGGAUUUCAUAUCUGGUUUACCGUUAACACCAAGCAAGAUAGAUGCAAUCUGGGUUAUUGUUGAUAGAUUGACAAAGUCGGCUCACUUUAUUCCGGUCCAUAUAGAUUACUCGCUCGAUAAGCUAGCUGAAUUGUACAUUACUUAAAUUGUACGAUUAUACGGGGUACCUAUAUCUAUUGUUUCGGAUAGAGAUCCGAGAUUUACAUCAGGUUUUGGAAGAAACUGCAAGAUGCAUUAGGUACUAAAUUACAUUUUAGCACUACUUUCCACCCGCAGACGGAUGGUCAACCCGAACGAAUCAUUCAAAUACUUGAGGAUAUGUUGAGAUGUUGUGUUCUCGAGUUUGAGGGUACGUGGGAAAGAUACUUUUCCCUGAUUGAAUUUGCGUACAAUAAUAACUUUCAGUCGAGUAUUAAGAUGGCACCUUAUGAAGCUUUGUAUGGUCGUAAAUGUCGUACACCUUUGUACUGGACUGAGCUCUAUGAGAAAAAGAUAUACGGGGUUGAUUUGGUGAAAGAGAUUGAGCAAAAAGUAAAAGUGAUCCGUGAAAGUUUGAAAGCAGCGUCAGAUCGUUAGAAAUCAUAUACAGAUUUGAAGCGUAAUGACAUAGAAUUUCAGAUAGGUGACCGAGUAUUUUUGAAAGUCUUGCCGUGGAAGAAAAUUCCUAGAUUUGGUCACAGAGGCAAGUUGAGUCUGAGAUUUAUUGGACCGUAUGAGAUUGUAGAGCGGAUUGGGCCGAUUGCGUAUAGAUUACUGUUGCCACCUGAGCUAGAAAAGAUCCACAAUAUUUUUCAUGUUUCGAUGCUCCGACGGUAUAGAUCCGAUCCUUCUCAUGUGAUUAGUCCAUCCGAAAUUGAGAUUCAGUCCGAUUUAACUUAUGAGGAAGAAUCGAUUCGUAUUCUGGCUCACGAAGUGAAAGAGUUGAGAAAUAAGAAAAUAUCAUUGGUGAAAGUGCUGUGGCAUAAGCACGGGGUUGAGGUAGUAACUUGGGAGCUUGAGGAUUCGAUGAAAGAAUGUUAUCCAAACCUAUUCAUUGGUAAGAUUUUCGGGGACAAAAAUCCCUAAGGGGGGAGAGUUGUAACAGUCCAAUUUUGAUCGUAAUUGGAACGGUGGUUUCGGGACCAUGAAUCUGAGUCAUAAUAAUAUUUAAAUAUUAUUUUCUAUGCUUAAAAUUUGUGAAGUUUCUUUUGUGAAAGUUUUGUUUAAAAAUUUUAGUAUUUGGAGGUUAAUUUAUUUAAGAAGGGUUUAAUCGCGUAAAAUGGAAAAUUUAAGGGUUAAUGUAUAAGGGCCAAAUUAUGAUUGUUUUUAUACUAUGAAAUAUUAAGGUUGCAAUUUGGCCAUAAAUAGGAAUUAGUGGCCGGCCAACAUGCAUGUAUAAUGCCCAUCUCAAAAUUUUGAAAUUGAUUAUGUAUUCAUGAAGUGUCAUCGUUGAUAGUUUGAUGGAAUUUAUGUUUGACGUUAGAAAAUAAAAUAAAAGUGUUAGAUUAACAUUUUUGGCAUUUGGAUUUGUGGUAAGUUUGAGCAUUUAGGGUUAAAUUGCAAAAAUACUAAAUUGAAGGACUAGAUUGUGAAAUUAGUGAAAUGGGAGGACUUAUAUAAGCCUAGUGAACAUUCGGCCCUCGUAUUGUAUAUGCAAAUUCUUCAUAUUUCGUAUUUUGUGAAAUUUGGAUUAAAUUGUAAAAGUGUAUAAUGUUAGGGGUAAAUUCGUAAAUUUCUCAAUUAUGUGUAUUUGGACUUAAAUGAAUGAAAUUCUAUUUGAAUAAGCUUAAUUUGGAACUUUUUAGAUCAAGAACCAAAAAGAUCGGACGUGGAUCGGGGAAAAUCAAAAAUCGUUGAGUAGUCGAAUUUAAUUGUCCAUCAAUAUCCGAGGUAAGUUAUUAAGCAAAUUUUUGUUUUGUUAUUGAUAAGAUUUAAAUAAAUCUAAGUAGAUGAGCCGAAUUGAUUUACAUGAAAUAUUGAUGUUGCCGAAUUCAAAGGGAAUUGAUGAAUUUAAAUUGAUGUGUAUUGAGUAAUGGAAUUUAGGCACUAAGUGUGCGAGUAUAAACGAUUACAGGUGUGAAUCUUGCACUAAGUGUGUGAAUGUGGUUAUUGAGAACUAAGUGUGCGGGUUUAAAUAUCGAGCACUAAGUGUGCAAACUCUAUAUAUAUUUUUGAGUAAACAUUAGCACUAGGUGUGCGAUUAAUUGAUUAGAUCGGGAAUGGUUGAAUGAAUUAAAGCUUUAAACUUCUUGAUGUGCAACUAUGAUGUAUAGCUCAAGUUUAUGCAAGUGAGUAUCGAUUCUAUGUGAUGGAUAUUAUAAAUUGAAAGUAUGUAUAAUGAUAGAUUGGUUUUAAUGGCUUUGUGCUCGAAUAUAUUAAUGUUAUACGAUGAUGGGAUGUUAAAUGCAUUCGGUUUUGUGUUUUGAGAGUAAUGUAGUAUAUUGUGGUUGAGCAGAUGUCUAUUGGACUUAGUAAAAAUUGAGUAUAUGUUUAAUAAAUUUCCUUGAAUUUGGUAAGAUAUUGAUUAAAUGAUAUAGUAGCAUGAUUUAGUUAGAUGAUACUCGACUAUUAAAUUGAAUUUGGAGUUUUUGAUGCUUAUAACUUACUAAGAUAUGGUAGCCUACUUUGGAUGUGCUUUUCAUGUCUCUAUUUUAUAGAUUUUAGAGAUCGUUAAGCGCUCGGGGAUUGUUAGUAAAGUCAUCCAUACUAUCUUCAAUAUUUUGGUAUUUUUAAAAGUUGGUUUGGUACUUAUGGCAUGUAUAAGCUAAUAACUAUUUUGGAGAUGUUUAAAUUUAAUAUAUGUAUAUUGGUUAAGUCAUGAGAAAAUGACUUAAUUUACAUGUUAAAGUUUGGUUAUGCUUGGUUGUGGUUUGAGUUUACCUUUAUGUGCGAUACUUAAACUAUGAGUAUUUAAAUAUUGUAAUGAUCAAUAUGGGUUAUAGUAUUAGUUUGGUAAAAAUUUGAAUAUGAUGGAAUAAUGAGCAUUAAUCGAGUUUAAUUAUUAUAUGAUAUGGUGGUGUAAGUUUAAUCAUGGUAUGUAUAUGUUGUGAUAAGUGAGUUGUUUUAUAUGUUCUUGGUUGAUGAUCGAAAAUUUAUACUUAUAAUUUGAUCAAUUAUGGGUUGGAUAAUGAUAUUAGGUGGUAAUAGCAAAUGUGAGUAUCUUUUAAGCUUAUUAAUUGGUAUUUAUAUUAGGUUUAUUAUAUAUAUAUGAUUUUGGUAUGUACAUUGAGCAUAUAUGGUUUUAUAUAGACGAUCAAAAUGGUUGAAAUGAACAUGUUCAUUUUGCUUAAACAUUGUUGAGAAAUGAUGCACAUUUGGUCUUGUUAUAAUGUUACUUCAUGCGUAUAAUUUUUGUUAAGUAUAUAUUUAUAUACCUUAUUUUGUUGAGUAAAUAUCAAACAUUGAUGGUAUUUGGUUUAAUCUAUUAAUUGUUUUUAAAUGAUUUCGUAGAAUGGUCAAUUGACUUUUUAAGUAAGUGUAAGCAAAUAUUAUUGUGAUCGUUAGGUAAUACCUCAUAACCCCUCCGGCGACGAAAUUGGGUUAGGGGGUGUUACAAGUAAUUUGCACAAGUUUCAUUUUUUGGGCCUAGGGACAAAAUCAGAAUUAUGGAAAAGUUAGGGGCAAAAUGGUAAUUUUUCCUAGGACAUAAAUUGAGUCCAUUUAAAUAUGAAAUGUGUGAAAUUGAUGGUUAAAUUCAUUUAUAUAGAUCCAGACAACACUAAUUCGAGGUUAGAUCGAGGAAAAGAAAAGGUUUCGGAUUAGUAGACUUUAUCCGCGAACAAGUGUCGAGGUAAGUUCGUGUAACUUAAUCUGGCAUGUAAAUAUGUUAAAUUGAAUGUUGUGUUGUUGGAAGGUGACUUAUAUUUAUGUACAUUACUUGUAUGCUAUGAUGGAAAAUAUGAUACAUGCUUGAAAUGGUGAUAAAGGGUGAAGUCCCGAUUGAAUAUUGAAUUCCAAUGAUUAUAUGCGCUUUCCUGAAACUAAUAAGGUCCUGCAUUUGUUGCGGACGGGAUUUAGCUCGGGCGAGUAAUCCCAUUGACCUUGUUAUAGAAAGGAUUUAUCCCGAAUGGGUAAUCCUGAUAUAAUCCCUCUCAAGCAUAUGUUAUAAUUAGGGUUUAGCCUAGACUGGUAAUCCUAAUCGAGCUCCUCUGAGCUUACAUUAUAUAAAGGAUUUAGCCUGGACUGGUAAUCCUGUUACAUUAUAUGCGGCUCGAGGGAGUGUUUCUUGGUUAAGUGCCCUAAUGGAUACCCUUGAAUAAGAAAUUGAUGGAUUAUUGAAUCGUACACUUCGAGUGUACUACUUAAGCAUCCAUCGAAUUUUAGUAUUUCAACGGACAUAAAACUCUUGACAUCGCAUGAAAAUCUUGAGAUGAAAUGAAUAUGACUUUAAAGAAUAUUUCUUGAUGAGCUCGUCUAUGUUACUUGAUUGAUAUGAAGAUUUUGGUGACUAACAUGUUUGAUUGAAUGUAUAUUAAUGGGCAAUUUGGCCAAAUGGAUGGAAACAUAACAUUGUAUGCUUAGAUUUAAUAUGUAAGAUUGGUAAGUUUAGUGUAACACCCCUAACCUAUAUCCGUUACUGGAAUACGGUUACGAGGCAUUAUCGAUCAUUAUACAACAUAUAACAUUCAUCCUCACACAUCAAUCAACAUAAUCAUAUUGUCCUUUAUAAGGGCCUACGAGGCCAUAAACAUGCUUUAGAUGUGGUUAGGGACAAAACCGUUAACAUAUGAAAGUUUCAAAAAACAUAGAAAUUUUUCACUUAUAUAAGGGUCACACACCCGUGUGAACAUGCCGUGUGAGGAGACGCGCCCAUGUCACAAGCUGUGUGGAAACAGGGCAUACAUACUAACUUGUAUCACACGGCUAUCUCCCUUGGCCGUGUGAAAUCUGAAGGGUAUACUGACUUAGGUUACACGGCUGGCCACACGCCCAUGUGUCAGCCCAUGUGUCACACACGACCAGUAGACACGCCCUUGUGUCAAAGCCGUGUAACUUACUGACUUGUUUAAUUAAGCUAUAGUAGACACAUGGUCGAGUCACACGCCCGUGUGCUCAACCAUGUGGGGCGCAAAUAGGCUUGGUUUAAGCCACAUUUCUCACCCUCCUCAAGCAAACCAAAACCACAUCAUUUAAUAACAUAUCAAUACAUUUAUAGGCGCCCAAAACAUGCUAUUUCAUAUACAAAUCAUCCCAAUUAAUCAUCUUAAAACCAAGUCACAACAUGUCAUAUUUUUUAAGUAAUAAUACACCAAUUGGCAACUAGCUAAUUGAGCAGUCAUAUAACCAUCACAACAUCCAUGAUAAACAUGCCAAAACACAGAGCCAUUUAUAUACAUCAUAUUUCACUUACCAAACUCAUAAAAUAAGCCAAGCAAAAUGGCCAAAUUCACACCAACAUUUACAUCAUUUAUGAGUCAAAUCUCAUGGCUAAUAUCAUAUCUCAAAACACAUCAUCAUAUCAAUAGCAUAUACACGUCAUAUACCAUAAUUACAUGGCAUCAAAAGUACCAACAAAUUGAUCGAUAGUGUGACGGUGUUCCUGAUGAUCCCCGAGUUCGAGCUAGCUUCGAUUAUCUAUAAAAAAAGGAAAGAACAGACACAAUAAGCUUUAAAAGCUUAGUAAACCAUAUAUAAAAAAAAUUACCACAUGAAUCAACAUCAUUUCCAUCAAUAGGCAAACUAUGAGUAAGCACAUAUAUGCUUACAAACCUUUCCCAAUGUAUACAUAUUCACCAUCAUAAAAGAAUUCAUCAUAUACUUCCCUUUUCAAUACUUGUAUGAAUCUCGUACAUACCUGAGUCACUUAACUCAUUCACACAUUCUUUCUCAACUUGGAUUUGCCCAUUGAACCUUUUGGAAUUGUUAAGGAUACUCAGAAAUUACCUAUAGUUCGUACAAUGCCAUGUCCCAGAUAUGGUCUUACAGGUUAUCACAUAUCGAUGCCGAUAGCCCAGCUAUGGUGUUACUUGAAAUCAAAUAACGAUGCCAAUGUCCUAGACAUGGUCUUACACAUAAUCACAUAAUGAUGCCAAUUUCCCAGACAUGGUCUUACACAUAAUCACAUCUCGUUAAUCCUAAUAUCAUGACAUUUAUAUCCUAUACUAUUCCUAAGGUUCAUACGGGACUUCCGGAUAUUGAAACUCUAUUGAUUCUUGGUCGUAUUUGAUCAUUCAACAUUCAUAGCAGUUAAAUGAAAAUUAAACAUAUAUAAUUCAAUUUAAAGACAUUUAUUUGCAUAUGGACUUACCUUGUAUUCAGAAUAAACGAACUCGGUUGACUAUUCAAUAACCUUUGAUUUUCCCUGAUCUAAAUCUGAUUUUUUUCGUUCUUGAUAUAUAUACACUCAAAAUUAACUCAAUUAUUCAUCAAAUCAUUCAAUUCAAUCCACAAACACAUAGUUGGGCAUUUUUACACUUUAGCCCCUAAAGUUCCACAUUUUUACAAUUGAGUCCCUAUUUCACAAAUACACAAAAUUCAUGAAAUUUCAUUAAACCCAAGCCUAGCCGAAUUUCAUAUAGGUCCAUAGCAGCCCAACACUUUCAUUUAUUUCACAUUUCAACCCCUCAAUUUACACUUUUCAAAAUUAAACCCUUAAUAGGCAUUUUUACUCAAAAUCACUUAACAAAACUUGUAUAACUAUCAACAAAUAUUCACUUUUUAUCCUAAAACAUUCAAAAGCUCAAACAUUCAUCAAUGGCACUUCAAAAAAUCAUUAACAACUUCAAAAAUUAAGGCAUGGGCUAGCUAGAAUACAAAGCAACGGUAUCAAAAACAUAAAAAUCAUAAAAAACCAAGCUAAAAUCGUACCUUAAUUACUUACAUUAACCUAGCUGAAUGACAAACCCUAUUUUAGCUUUUCUUCAAGCUUCAUUCGGCCAUAAAAGAUGAACAUAAAGAUGGAUUUAGUUUUGUUUUAUUUAAUAUAUCAUUUAUUAACCAUUUACCAAAAUAACCUUUAAUAAAAACCAUUAAAAACAUCCAUUUCAUAUCCUUUUAUGUCAAAUUCAACUAUCAAUGGUCUAAUAACAUCAUAAGGACCUUUCAUUUAAUAUUCAUAGCAAUUAGUCACCUUUAACAAAUAGAAUGCAACUUUUAUAUUUUGCGCUAUUUAGUCCUUUUAUCAAAUUAGACAUCUAAUCGAUAAAAUUAAAUCACGAAACUUUCAAACAUACAUGCUAUCAUGCUGUAAACAUAUAAAAUAAUAUUAAAAUAAUUUUUUUGACAUUGGAUUUAUGAUUUUGAAAUCACUAUUCCAACUUAGCUAAAACUGAGUUGUUACAACUCCCCCCGUUAGGGAUUUUCGUCCUCGAAAAUCUUACCAGUAAAUAGGUUAGGGUAUUGAUUGCUCAUAGCAUCCUCAGAUUCCCUCGUAGCUUCUUCAACCCCGUGUCAAUGCCAUAAUACUUUGACUAAUGCAAUUCUCUUAUUUAUCAAUUUUUUGAUUUUACGAGCUAGAAUUCGGAUUGGUUCUUCAGCAUAUGACAUAUCUGAUUGAAUUUCAACCUCGGUCAGGGAAAUGACAUGUGAAGGGUUAGAUCUGUAUCGUUGAAGCAUCGACACAUGAAAUAUAUUAUGUAUUUUCUCCAACUCAGAUGGUAAAUACAGUUGAUAAGCAACUGGUUCGACUCGCUCAAUAAUCUCAUACGGUCCAAUGAAUCGUGGACUCAAUUUCCCUUUCCGACCAAACCGCUAUAUCUUUUUCUAUGGCGACACUUUCAGGAACACUCUAUCCCCAAUCUAAAACUCAAUAUCUUUUCGUUUCAAGUCUGUGUAAGAUUUCUAUCGAUCCGAUGCUGCUUUCAAACUAUCGUGAAUUACUUUAACUUUUUCUUCUGUUUCCCUUAUCAGAUCAACUUCGUGAAUCUUAUUCUCACUUAGUUUAGUCUAGUACAAUGGUUUUCGACAUUUACAACUGUAUAUAGCUUCGUAUAGUGCCACCUUUAUAACUGACUGAAAGCUAUUAUUGGACGCAAAUUCAACCAGCGGUAAAUAUUUCUGCCAGCUACCCCCAAACUCAAGAAUGCAACAACGCAACAUAUCCUCGAGUAUCUAAAUAACUCGCUCGGAUUGACCAUUCGUUUAAGGGUGCAAUGCAGUGCUAAAAUGCAGCUUUGUACCUAAAGCUUCUUGCAAUUUCUUCCAUAAUCGCAAAGUGAAUCUCAGAUCUCUAUUCGAAACAAUAAAUAACGAUACUCCAUGCAAUCGAACAAUCUCUGAGAUAUACAACUCAGCCAAUUUAUCAAGUGAGCAAUCCGUAUGUAUAGGGAUAAAAUGAGCUGAUUUUGUUAAUCUAUCAAUAACGACACAAAUCACAUCUUUCUUUCUCGGAGAUAAGGGCAAACUAAGACAAAAUCCAUUGUUACUCUAUCCCACUUUCAUUUAGGAAUCAUAAUAGGCUGUAGUAAACUUGGUGGCACUUAAUGUUCAGCUUUGACUUGCUAACAAAUCAAACAAUUCGAAACAAAUUCUGAAAUAUCACAUUUCAUGCCGUGCCACCAAUAAAACUGUUUUAAAUCAUUAUACAUUUUCGUGCUUCCUGGAUGUACUGAUAAACAACAACUGUGUGCUUCAUUUAGAAUAUUCUGAAUGAGUUCAGAAUUUCUUGGUUCACAUAUUCUAUCACGAAACAUCAAAUAGUCAUCAGGCCCUAUUUGAAACUCAAAAUUAGAAGUCAACUUACACUAAGCUCGUUUUGCCUGUAAUUCAUUAUCAAACUUUUGAGCUUCACAAAUCUGUUGUAGAAAUAAUGGUCUCGCCUUCAACUAGGCUACUAUCGAACUGUCAUCAGACAAAGCUAAUUGUGUGUUCAAAGCUCGUAAAGCGAAUAAGGACUUUAGACUCAAAGCAUCGGCAAUUACGUUUGCUUUCCCCAGAUGAUAGUCAAUUACUAAUUCAUAAUCUUUUAGUAAUUCUAGCCAUCUUCGCUGUCACAAAUUCAAGUCUUUCUAAAUCAUCAAAUAUUUCAAGCUUUUGUGGUCGGUAUAAAUAUGAUAUUUCUCGCUAAACAAGUAAUGACGCCAAAUUUUCAACACGAACACUAUUAUAGCCAACUCUAAAUCAUGCACCGGAUAGUUCUUUUCAUGCAGUUUCAAUUGUCUCAAAUCAUAAGCUAUAACUUUCCCCGCCUGCAUCAAACAUAACCCAGGCCAUUUAACGAUGCAUCACUAAAAACUACGAAUUCUUUACCUGACUCAGGCUGAACUAACACUGGUGCCUCUGUCAAUAAUGCUUUCAACUGCUCAAAGCUCUGUUGACACUUUUCUAACCACUCAAAUUUAACAUCUUUCUAAAGUAAUCGUGUCACCAGAGUCGCAGUCAUCGAGAAGCCUUUCACAAAUUGAGUAUAAUAGCCAGCUAGUCCCAGAAAACUACGGACUUCAGAUACAUUUUUGUAACACCCCUAACUCGUAUCCUUAGCUAGAAUAGGGUUACGAGGCAUUACCGAUCAAACACAAAAAAAUUCAUACAUAUACACAUUCAUAAUCAAAAUACAUUAAAAUCAUUCACAUUGUCCCUUAUAAGACUCUACGAGACCUUAAAACAUUCUUAGAAGUGGUUCAGGACUAAACCUAUAACAUUUGCAAACGUUAGGAAAUUUAGAAAAUUUUUAAACUUUUCAGGGUCACAUGCCCAUGUAAACAGGCUGUGUGUUUCACAUGGACACAUGGCUACCAGACACGCUCGUGUCACAAGCCAUGUGAAAAUAGGGCAUACAUACUGACUUGCACCAUACAGCCGAGGACACGUCCGUGUGCCAAGCUGUGUGAAAUCUAAAGGGGUUACUAACUUGGGUCACACGGCUGACCACACGCCCAUGUGCCAGCCCGUAUGCCACACGCGGCCAGUAGGCACGCCCGUGUGUCUAGGCUAUGUCAAAACUAUAUGGUAUACUGAUUUUAAAUCGACGGGUACCCCAGGGGACACACGGCUGUGUAACAUGACCGUGUGUCGCACACGGCUGAGAACAUGCCCGUGUCUCUAUCCGUAUUGACAAAAAUAGGCCAUUUGAAAAGCUAAUUUUCCACCCUACUCACAUGUACACAAAGCAAACCAUAUGAUACCAUUUCAGUACAUAUUUUGCAAUAAAAAACAUGCCAAUUCAUAUUCAUAUUAUACCAGCUAUUCACAACCAUUAUAGUUACUCAAUUCCAUAACCAAAACAUACCAUUUCAAUAUGCCAAAAUCAUCAAACUUACAUAACUUCAAAAUGCAUUUACCCUUCAACUUAUCACCUAUUUCCUACCUCACUUAUACCAUUCCUCAAGCAUUCAUAACUAACCAAAUCAACAUUCAUUAAGUUAUAUUCACAACUAUGACAAAGAUACCAUAUCAAGCCAACAUAUAAGGCAUUAUAUACAUUACAUACAUCACUUAUCAAACACAUGUUUCAAGCCAACUUUAAAGGCUAUACACAUUAACAAUUUACAAGUCAAAUCUCAUGGCUAAAAUCAUCACUCAAAAAACAUACCAAAAUGACACUAGCCUAUACAUGUCAUAUACCAUACAUAUACAAAGCUCAAAAGUACCAACGAGAUGAUCGAUAGUGUGAUGACAUAUUCCUGAUGAUCCCCGAGUCUGAGCUAGCUUCGAUAAUCUAUGAAACAUAGAAAGAACACACAAAGUAAGCUUUAAAAGCUUAGUAAGCCAUAUAAAAAUAAAUCUAUACCAUAAUCAACAUCAUUCUCAUCAACUAAGCAAAUUAUAACUAAACACAUUUAGUUACACAAACCUAUCUCAAAUUACAUCUAUUCCAAUUCACAUGUAAUUUCAUCAAAUGCUUCCCUUUUUCAAUUCUCAUAUGAGUCUCGUACAUACCUGAAUCACAUAAUCUUAUAUUCAAUCUUGACUUGACUUUGCCCAUUGAACCCUUUGGAAUCACUAAGGAUGCUCAGAUGUCUCGUAGAGCUCAUACAAUGCCAUAUCCUAGAUAUGGUCUUACAUGUUUUCAUAUACCGAUGCUAACGUCCCAAACAUGGUCUUACCCGAAAUCAUAUAACGAUGCCAAUGUCCCAGACAUGGUCUUACAUGUAAUCUCAUCUUGAUAAACCUAAUGUUAUGGCAUUUGCAUCCUAAGUAUUCCUAAGGUUCGUACGUAGUCGGAAUAGACGGAAUAGACUAAAUUCAAUGACAAAUAAUACAUAUCUAAUUCAAUUUAAAAGCAAGUAUUUGCAUAUGAACUUACCUCGUAGUCAGAAUAGACGGACGAAAUCGACUAUUUGGUAACUUUCAUUUUCCCCCGAUCUAAAUCCGAUUUCUUUCGUUCUUGAUAUAUAUACAUUCAAAAUUAACCCUUUUAUUCAUCAACACAUUCAAUUUCAUCCAUAAACACAUAUUUAGGUAUUUUUUCACUUUAGCUCCUAAAGUUACACAUUUAUUCAAUUUAGUCCCUAUUUUAUAAAUACACAAAAUUACACGAUUUCUUCCUAAUUUCAUGCUAGGUGAAUUUCAUAUAGCUUCAUAUCAACCCAUAUUUUCAUUUAUUUCACAAAUUUAAACACACAUUUUACACUUUUCACAAAUUAGUCCUUUUUAUGAAAUUUCACUAAAAAUCACUUUACAAAAUAGGAUAAUCAAUCAACAAAUACUUAUUUUCCAUCAUCAAAAAUUCAAGAACACAUGAAUUAAUCAAUGUCAAUUUUCAAAAUCAUCAACACUUUCAAAAAUUGAGGCAUGGGCCAACUAGAUUACUAAGCAGCGAUCCCAAAAACAUAAAAAUCAUCAAAAAUCGAACAAAUUUCAUACCUCAAUCAAGAUGAGCAACGGCUGAAUGGUUAAAAGCUCAAAAGCCUAUUCCUUUUGGUGAUUUUCGGUUGAAUAUGGUGAUAAUGAAGCCAAAUUUUGGUUUUCUUUUAUUAAUAAUAACAUUAAUAACUAAAUUACCAAUUUAACCUUAGUUAAAACCAAUUUAAAACAUCAAAUAUAAGACCAUUUAUGUCCAAUCCCGCUCUCAAUGGUCUUUUUAAAACAUAAGGAAUUCACAUUUAAUAAGCCAUAUCAAAUAGACACCUUUAUAAAAUAGAAUGCAACUUUUGCAUUUUACGCGAUUAAGUCCUUUUCUCAAAUUAAGCACUUAAACGAUAAAAUUAACACACGAAACUUUCACACAUAUUUAAUAUCAUGUCGUAAACACAUAAAAUAAUACUAAAAUAAAUUUUCCAACCUUGAAUUUUUGGUUCCAAAACCACUGUUCUGAUUUAGCUAAAAAUCGGGUUGUUACAAUUUCUCGGAGGCUUCCAAACUAUAAUUGCAAAAAUUUUACUCGGGUCAACUCAGAUACCCGCGCCUGGAACUAUAUGUCCCAAAAAACCAACCUCUCGCAGCCAAAACUCACAUUUUCUAAUUUUGCAAACAACUGCUUAUCUCUCAAAGUUUGUAGUACGAUUCUCAAAUGUUCUUCAUGCUCAGAUUUAUCACAAGAAUAAAUCAAAAUAUCAUCAAUAAACACAACUACAAAUCUAAGUACGACCUAAAAAUCCAGUUCAUCAAAUCUAUAAAAAUAGCAGGUGCAUUUGUUAAUUCGAAAGGCAUAAUAAGAAAUUCAUAGUGUCCGUACCUCGUUCUAAACGCGGUCUUUGGCACAUUUGUGCCUUUAACUCGCAACUGGUAAUAACCCAAUCUCAAUUCAAUUUUCGAAAACACUGUUGCUCCUUUUAACUGAUCAAACAAAUAAUCAGUCCACGGUAGAGGAUAUUUGUUCUUUAUAGUCGCUUUAUUCAGUUUUCUAUAGUCAAUACACGUUCUCAUCAUGCCAUCUUUCUUUUUCACGAACAAUACCGGUGCACCUUAAGGAGAGAAA